rnacentral:lncRNA from 1 species
AAACUAAUUAGCAUCCAAUAAUGACUAAUGCAAUCUGAUUUUUUUUUUUUUUUUUUUGAUUUUAUAUACUAGUUUAAUGUCAGUUGCUAAUUUGCUACGAUAAAGCCUGGUCUGAUAAAGUGAUUAUGAAUUCCAAUCACCAAAAUUUAUCAAAAUCAAAAUAAAAAAAUCAGUGUCGCUUUAUUUAAUAAUGGAUAUAGUUAGGUUUGCCGCAUUGCGGAUUACAUAUUGGUGAUAAUAUUUACAAACUGGCUCCAAAUCAAAAACAAAAUUAAAGUUGCAUGGUUACGUGUUAGCAAUUUGUGAAGACAAUAAAUUAAAUCAAUUAGGUUAUUUUACGUCUUAAUUACGUUACACCAAUGUCUCGAUCAUAUAGUUCCAAUUGUUGCCCAAAACUCUUUUGAAAUAUGCAUAUAUAUGUUUAUUUCUCACACACACAUAUUGUAUAUAUAUAUAUAUAUAUAUAUAUAUAUUUAUAUGUUCAGUUGCAUAGUUUUACACAUCAUAAUCUAUGCAGGCUCAGUUAUUUUACUAAUUUGAUAAUAAAGCUGAAACUUAGAAAAACUUACUAUUUUUCAUGUUUCGUGUUUGAAGAACUUUUGUUUCUAUUUUUUCUAUUAUUAAUUUAUAAUGUUAUUCCACUAUUUUAUGAUGUAUCAAUAAUAAUCGAAUUAAUUGUCGUUUCCUACUUAUCAUUAUACCAUUGUAUUAUUAUGCACAACUUAAUAAAUUGCAAGAUUCGUCACCGCUAGAGUCUUAACUUGUUGGAGAAAUUACUUUCUUCGUCAAAGAAACAGUUUGAUACUUAUAACUUCAAAUCUAAUUGAAGAUUACUUUUUGUUUUUCAUUUUUAUUACGACAAAUCCUUUUUAAACCUACUCUUUGAAAAAUAUAACGAAGGUAGAUGAUGUUAUUAUUGUACACGGCAUGUGACUUUUAUAGAGACAUUAUUAUUUAUAGUUAGAGCAGGUGAGGUGAGGAUCGAUGAAGACAUAACUACUGUCAAUUAUUGUCAUUGGUCGCUUUUCACAAACCCAACAUAUUCUCAAAUCUCAAUACAUAGAUGCAUUAACUUAAUAAAAUUAAUUAAAGUAAUGACCAAAAUUUAAAUGUAUUAUUGAUUAUCUACUAUAAAAUAAUAACAUAUUAUUACAAAAUAGUCUUAAUAUAUCAAAUACAAAGAUGCAUGCAUGCCCCCAUUAUGUAACCCUGUUCAUAAUCAUAAUUAAAUAAAAUACUCUGUUAUGAGGUAAUAGUAACUAAAGCCUAUUUUCAAUGUUUACCUAACAAAUAAGGUCAGAUUUUUUUUUUGUUUGUUCAUUUAAUCAAUAGUCUUAUUUAGUACAUAUGCAUAUAUCAUUUUGUUUGAUGAAUUAUAUAUAUACACAUGUUAUAUAACACAAACCUGCCACGAAUAAAAAAGAAUGACAACCACUCAAUACAUUUAUACGUUAGUUUCAAAUAAUGCAAUGAUGAUAACUAAAAAUAAUUAAAGAUGUAUAAAAUAAUAGUCCCUAAAUUAUACUAAGUAUAGUACUAACAACUUCAAUAACACUAGUAGUGGUGUCACUAGAUGACCAUGUUCUCUAAGCAGUGGUUGCUCAGUCGAUGUAUAGAAUUUCUCCAGGCCUUUUUUUUUAAAGUAUAUAUUAGGAUUUUUUUUUAUUAGAAGUUUUUUGCUAAUAUAUAAUGUAUAUAUUUUUAGUUUUAUCCAAAACGAAUCUCUUUUUCAUAUAUAAAUAAUUAAUUGCUUAUCUUCAGAAACGUCACGAUAAAAUAUACUACAUAAUAAUAAUUAAUUAUAUUAUGAAAUCAAUAAGGCAUGCAUGAUUAGAUGUUCAAUUUUUUAUAUUUUUUUUCUUUUGUUAAAUGCGAAUAAUUUUUGAUACUGAUGGAUAAUCUAAUUAACAACACCAAUGCAAAAAAAUUUGAAAUUCCAGAAAAUCUGAUAUUCUUUUUCAAAUUCGGAAUAUAUAGUUUAAGAUAAGCCUCAAAAUAUGGAAUGUACUCCGUUCGGAAAAAUGAGAUUGAAAUUAAAGUAAGAAUGAAAGAACAUAUGUAUAUAUGGUCCACUUAUUUUGUUAUUAUCUUAUCAUAUAUGUUAAAGAUCAUAGAAGCGAUGAUUAUGGAUAACUUGGAAUCUAAGCAACUUGAUCAACCUUUGCCCCAACAUUGGCCCUGCUUGGUUAAGGCGGUAGUUUUGGUUUUUUUCUGUCAAUUUUGAGUUGUAAAAUUUUUGGUUGUGCCUUUCAAAGUUUCAUUGCUGUAAUAUUUUUAUUGUAAAAAAAAUUUCUACCGCAAAAAAAAAUGAAUAAAAAAAAUAUUUUGACUGUGAGAAAAAAAGAAAAUUCAUUGGAUCUAUUUAUAUUUAAAUUUUUUUUUUUUACUUUGUAAAGUUUCUAAAGUACUUGCCUGUCAAGGCAUUUAUUAUUAGUUGAUUGGGAUAUUAGUUGAUUGUCCCAAAGUUUUACAAUACAUAAACAACUCAUCCAACACUCUAAUUUUUGCACCAUAAAUAAUUUCGCAAUUAAGUGCCUCCGAAAAUUCAAAAAUAUAAAUAAUAAAAUGUAAAGGAUUAAAGAAAAAAAAGAACUUUUCAUACUCGACUUUUUUUUUACUUUAUCGAUGGAAAUAUCACAAUAUAACUAAUGGCGAUAAUGACGAAAAAGAUUGUGGUUUGAUAUGGACCUGCGACUUUAGUGUCGCCAUUGGUUAGGUGUUCAAAUUGACAAUGUCUUUCAACGUUUCUAUGAUUGUUAAUACAGAUAGUGAUAUCAAAAUUGGCCAUGACAAAAAAAAAAUCAACAUAUUUGAAAACAGAUACAAAGCAAUCUGAUUUUAUCUUUUAGAUUUUAUCUUUUAGAAAAAAGUGGGAUGAGAUUGUAUCUACUUUGUUCUUUUCUUUAUUGCCAAGCAAAAUUGCAUCAAUUAAAUGACAAACAAAAUAGUAAAACGAAAAAACAAUUUGACAUAUUUCUCAACAAAUGAACUAGUGGAUUCCACUAACACUUUUCUACAGAUACCUCCCCCUCUGUUUUACAGAAUGAAUUACAAUCUCUAAAGUUUCAACUGGAGAGAUUUGUUCAUAUGAUGUUCUUUAGACCGCAACACUGAGCUGAGUAAACAGAGACAAAUCAGCAAUCAAUGCUAGUAUUUCCCGAUAUAGAUAGAUGAUCAUCGUUGUUUAAUGAAACCGAGAAUCUUUGAAACUUACAAUUUGGGAGUUUUCCAUCAGAAGAAAUGGGUUGCCAUCAAAAUCUGAGGUUUCUUCUUUUCUUCUUCAACUUGAAUUACAGCUUCUGUUUUGAUUUCUUCAAUCUUUUUAUCCCAAAUCUCAUCCACCAGUUUCCAUGUGUCAUCGCUGAUGAUUUGGGUCUGCAUUAAACAUAACACAAGAGGAAAUGUUUGUAAUGGUUUAUGUUGUUAUGAUCUAUGAGUUGACUUGUUUAGUAACAUACCUCCAUUGGACGAGGUGCUCCAAAUGUCGCAAAACCGAUGUUUCCUGGUGAAAAUGUUACUCUUCCAGGAAGCGAUACACCGUGAAUUCCCCAUCUUCCAGCAUAGAGUAAGGCUCCAUAUUCAUCCACAGGUCUUACAGGUUUCUGUUUUAAGGAAUUAGAGGAUCUGAACAAAACCAAAAACAAGAAAAAAAAAAACAAAACAGAGUGAGUGUAGGGUACAAAUAACUAACCUGAGGAAUCCUUGGAGCUGUGUUGUAAAUGUUCCAAAUUUCAUCGGCUUUGAUUUCUCCCUUUUCAAGAAGCACAUCUGAAAAUAUUAUUACAAUUUUUAAGAUGUUGCUGUGUAUGAUGACGUCUGUAAUUGUAAUGACGAAACAGAGAGGAUACUAUUUUCUGAACCUGUGAUUUCUUCAAGUGCUGAUUGAUACUCUUGUAAGAUUGAUGAGCAUUUCUCAACAGCAAACCGCAUGUAUUCAUCACGUAAUGCCUCAAGUUUCGGAACAAGCUGCAUGAAGGAGAAUCGGAAUUGGUGGUUCUGAGAAUCUCAAGGACUAAUUAAAAAAUGCAGGAUGUAGAAAAAAACAAUUACAUUUGGAACGAGGUCUCUUUGGUUCCGGUAAUAAGCUUUUCCAAAGGCAGUCAUUCCCGUCUGAAGAAUCAGAAACUCCGCUCGCUGUGAAGCUUCUAAAGUAGACUUCGCAGAGAUCCAACACAAGUUUUCUAUUCCAAACAUCUCUUCUUCAACUACUCUGGCUGUAUACAAACAAGGGAAUGAAGUAAGUGACAGAAAUUUUUGUGAACUAUAAUGGAACGUCAAAGCAAUUUCUUCACUUAUUUUUGGCUUUAUAACUUACGAGCACAUGCACGGAUUAUUGUGUUCACAUAAUCUGACUUUCUUGCAAAAACUCUCCCUGAAGUUUCAGCGUAACGCAUAUUUGGUUGGCUUCGGAUUGAGUUUAUGUCAGUCUGCAGAGAUAAGCACAUGGUAAAAUGGUCUUAGUCAUGCUAGAAUCCAAAACACAUGAAAGAAACUGAAAUCAAGUUUCUUGACCAACCUCGCUAAUUGGACGGUACUGAUCAGGGAGAUGACAAGCAAGAACAGCAACAGCUGCUUCUCUGUAAGCCAAUCUCAACUUCAGUUCCUCUGGAACUUCAGUACUAUCUUCUUGUCCAGUCUCAAAUGUUCCUUUUUGCUGUAAUGAGUGGAAUCAGCAUUUGCUAAAGCAGCACCUAAGCAUUGAUAAAUCGGGAAUUAAACACUAAUUACCCUCUUAAGCGCCUCUAGGAGUUCCUCUCUUCCAAUGUAAUCUAAAUCUUUUCUAGCAGUCAAGAUUCCAGCUUCAUUUCUGUAAACAAUUAACCAAACAUCAGUGUUCUCCGUUUCUACCUCUGCAAUAUUUUACAAAGAAAGUUAAAAGUUCUAGCAUAAUUUAUUACAGAACGUUCUGCAGUUCUGCUCCAGUAAAAUCUUCUGUGUUCUCAGCUACUUCUUGCAGCAACUCCUCCUUCUCAUCUUCAGACCGGAAGAAUUUAUUUCUAGCAUGGACCUUUCAUAAACGAAAGCCUUUAGCUAAAGAACAAAGCAAUCCAAAACUCUUUGAUUCAGAAAGCGAAACUAAGUACCUUUAAUAUGGCCAAUCGACCAUCUUUCGAAGGUAAACCAACCCUUAUGAUUUUGUCGAAGCGCCCUUUUCUUAAGAGAGCAGGAUCAAGGAUAUCUAACCUAUUUGUUGCACCUAUGACUAAUACCUGACAAGAUCCAUGAUUAAUAGCACGAAAUGUUUACACGAAAAGAAACUGAAUAGCAAAUAAAAACAUUACUUGUGAUGUGGUAACUUUGAAUCCAUCCAUCUCAGUCAGUAUUUGAAGUAAACCUUGUUCUCUCUCUGCUCCUCCCUAUCCAAUUAGUAACACAUUUAAAAAGAAAGUUAAUUUUCUUAAACCAAGAUCCAAUUUCCAGAACAAAGAAAGCAUGCCAUUCUUACCCCACCAAUAUCGGGUCCACCUCGCUUACUUCCAAUUGCAUCAAUCUCAUCAAUAAAGAUUAUAGAUGGCGCAAAUGACCGAGAGCUAGCAAAAAGAUCUUUAACACGAGAAGCAGCCACUCCUACAAACAUCUGAGAGAUUUAAAGGGAAAAAAGGAUAACUCCAUAUCAAGACCUUAAGAAACCAGGAUACUUAGCACAUUCGUUCAUACUGACGUAUCAAUCACACACCUCAACAAAGUCAGUUCCAUUUGCAGCAAAGAAAGGCAAACCAGCUUCUCCGGCAAUAGCUUUAGCCAACAGAGUUUUCCCCGUUCCAGGAGGUCCAUGAAGAAGAACACCUUUCGGACAAUAAAUGCCUUUAUUCUGAAACUCCUCAUCAUUCUUUAAAAUCCGCACAAUUUCUUGUAGUUCCCUCUUUAUAUACUCCUGACCCGCAAAAUCAUCAAAUGUUACACCAGUUUUCUCUUCUGCUGAUAUAAAUUUUGCUCUGACAGAGAGAAUCAAACAGAAUCUUAGAUCCAAUACACUUGAGCAGAAACGGUCAAUACCGAAAGAAGUAGUAAUUUCUAAACAUACCGACUCUUGCCUAGGGAACCGAGUGCUUGGCGCUUGAGGGGCUGCCUUAUCUUUUUAGUAGGGGUUCCAAGAUCACAAGGGAUUAACUUGGCAUAGAUUGGCCUUGUGAUACUGUCAAUCCAAACAUAAAGCGAAACAAAGAGGGCAAGUCUCAUAGACCAAACCACAAAAGUGGCAACUGUAGUAUAGACUUCAGCUGGAACGACAUCUACAUUAAAAACCUCGACGUUGACUAAUUGCUGAUGCAACUUCUUCCAUACAUCAUUCCAACCAUCAAUUGGCAUUCGGUCCACAAUGUGGCGACGGAAAAUUAUCUCCUUGUUCGAGAUUUCUUCUUCUCCUUGAGGCUCCCCAUCUUUAUAAUAAGGCAAUAUCACUGCACCAACAACAAAACUUAAGUAAAAGAUUUCCCAACAAUUUGACACCAUAUUCUAGCUUUAAGAGGCAUGAUGCAAUGUAUCAAAGACAUAGUUCAUAUUGAUAUCAUCCCGGAAAGACACAUGGUAAUAAUAUUUGGCAGGCCAAUUGUAGAGACUAAUCACACUGAAACGCUGAAAACAGAACUAAGAGCAAUAGUAUCAUUGAAAGAGAAUCCUCGAAAAGGACCUAACUUUUUUCAGAAAAUGAACAGCAGUUGAGCAAAUAUAUGUCAUUGGCAUGUGUUACCAAAUAGAAAAAAAAACACUGCAAUUGUAAAAUUUCUGUAACUUUGAACCUGAUAUCGUCUGUCCGUAAUUAGAAUACUCCAUGUAUUGAACACUGUUGGAAUCUAACAGCUUCAUAAAAUCACUAAAAUUGAUCCGGUGAGAAGUUUCAGGAUCCCAUUCUGUUCCCUUUAACUUCCCACGCAUCGUUAACAAUGUUCUACUCCAAUCUGAAGCCAUCACAAGCUGCCUUUCUAAUUGUACAUUAGCCUUUCUCUCUAGCUCUUCCAUGUUGCUAAGUCGUUCUCUUUCAGCUUCUCUUAAUCUCUGCAAAAAAUCCAAUAAAAAAGGAAUCAAAGCUUUAAAAUCGCCAUUUUCCCAAUUACGCUACAACCAAAAAAUCACUCCACUGUCAAAUUAAUCUACUUGCAGCAUACAUUCUAAAGAUUCAAAGUCCUAAUUACGUAUUAGCUUUCAAAGUUCUUCACUUUCAAUUCGAGGAAAAAUAAAAAGUCGAACUUGACAGGUUUUUUAGAUUCCCCAAAAUAGAGUGUUUGAAAAAGAGAUAUAAACCUCAAAUAGACGAUUCGAAUCAGCAUCUUCUUCCUGGGAAACUGAAGACUCAAAGCUCGAUGUACAACAAGUAGUAAUCAAACCAUUUCUUCGUGAAGGAAAGAGGUUGAAUUUGGAGCUUAAUUUAGCUCCCGUAGGGUUUCUCCGACGGACGAAAGUAGACAGAGAGCCCCGGAAUUGAAUAGGGAAGAGGGUAUUAGAAGGGUUUAAGGGUUUCGAGAAAUGGGUUGGAGUUAACGAACUCGAUAAAUAAAACGUCAUUGCUCAAUCAUCAGGAUAGAGCUGGGGAAACUGUCCCUUGGAAUUCUAAGUGCAACAAAACGAUAACAAAAAAUCUUCUAGAGGUGAAAUUUGAAGCUGCUGGGUUCUUCACGAAGAUUGAAAGAGACGAUCGAAACGGUGCGUUUUCAUCAGUUUCUACGAGAUUGCCGUAACCGAACUUCACCGGUUCACUAUCAAGUACUCCGAAUCGGCUAUUCGAAAUGGUGCGUUUUAAGUGAUUAUCGGUUCCAACGCAACCGGACAUAACCGGUUCUCUAUAAAAUACUACUCUGUUCCAUUAUAUAAAAGUUUUUGGUUUGACCAAAAAAAAAAAAAGUUUUUGGUUAAAAACGUACUUGUAUAAAGUUAAUAGUAGGAUCUCAUAGAUGCAUGCAGAUUAAAUUCUCUUUGAAAACGCCGUAAAUAAUAAACCCAUUACAAAAGCAUCACAAACCGACCAAAGUAAUCGAGAAGAAUAAAAGAAGAUCGUAACCCUAAAUCGAGAGAGGAGGAAGAAAAAAAGAACAGCGAUCGACACAUCGAUCGGAGAAGAUGUCGUCUGGGAUUAUCUUUGAAGAUAGCGGCGAGUUUAUCGGUGGGCAGAUGGAGUAUUGGCGUGAAGUGGACGCAUGACUCUCCUGGGUGAGUAUGGGUUUUGCAUUGGAGAAGUAGCUGAGAAGCGUUAUAUAUCUCGCCCAAGCACUAUAAGUUUGUAUGAAGCAGGGAUCCUAUGACUGGUCAACCACUGCAUCUCGAUUUCGAAAAAGGACUCGGCUUAAUUCUUAGUUUUAAAAUGUAAAUGAUGGGAGACAUAUUCUUCUUAGCUUUCUUUAGAUCGCUUUAGUUGUCCUUUUAUACCGUUACAGCUUGCUAUUGAGAUAUUGAUAAUGGUUAUCCGGUUAUUGAGAUUGAUGAUUGGUUAUUUCCGGUUAUUAAGAUUGAGUAUUAGAAAGAUGUAUAAAUACAGAAUACAUGUAACUUUACUGAUUAAGCUUUGUAAUACACUUUUAUCCGUUAAUAAAGUUUGUUACAAUUGCUUCACUCUAUCUUCUUCUUCUUCUUCUCCGAUCUAUAUUCCGGUGUAUCAGAGUUCUUUAAUAUGGUAUCAGAGCUGAGCAAUCGCUUCUUCCGCUUCCUCUGAUAUCAUCGGAAUCGUUAUCGGAUUCAUAACGAUGCGUUGUAAUCUCGUUUCUUUACACAUUGUUCUAUCGUUGAUUUUGGAGCUCAUUAAUGGAGUUUUCUUUUGUUUCUUUCUUUUGAUUCUCUUCAUUUACCUUUGAUUGACCUUAGUGUUGGUGAAUUUUGUUUUCUUUCAAUUUCAAAUCGCCACACAUUUCUUCCAAAUUUCUUGAAUCUUUCUUCAACGAUGGGAACUUAUGCCCAAGCAGCAUCUUCAAGUCUUCCGCCGAAUCUGCCCAAUCCAGAUCAUCCGCCAGCUCCGGUGAAUCGACAACAAGAACCACCGCGUUUUCAGACGGAUCAAUAUGAAAAUCCUUAUUAUCUAAACAGUAAUGAUCAUGCUGGUCUUGUUUUGGUUUCUGAUAGGUUAACGACGGGUUCAGAUUUUCAUUCAUGGAGACGAUCAAUGUGGAUGGCUUUAAACGUACGAAAUAAAUUGGGUUUCAUUGACGGAACAAUGCCAAAACCACCUGAAGCACAUCGUGAUUACGGUACUUGGUCAAGAUGCAAUGAUAUUGUGAGUACUUGGUUGCUAAGUUCGGUGGAUAAAACGAUAGGGCAGAGUUUAUUGUAUAUCUCUACUGCUGAGGGAAUGUGGAAGAGUCUAAUGACUAGGUUUAAGCAAGAUGAUGCACCUAGGAUUUUUGAUAUUGAACAGCGUCUUAGUAAGAUUGAACAAGGAUCAAUGACUGUGUCUGAAUACUACACCAAGUUGAUUUCUCUAUGGGAAGAGUACAAGAACUAUGUGGACCUUCCAUUAUGCACUUGUGGUAGAUGUGAAUGUGAUGCGGCUGCAAAGUGGGAAAAGUUGCAACAACGCAGCCGUGUAACCAAAUUUCUAAUGGGAUUGAAUGAGAGUUUUGAUCAGACGCGUCGUCACAUUUUAAUGCUGAAGCCAAUUCCAACGAUAGAAGAGUCCUUUCAUCUUGUUACUCAGGAUGAGAGACAGGUCAACAUAAAACCUACUUCUCGGAUGGAUACUGUGGCUUUCCAAGCAGUGACUCCAGUAGCUUAUGAUGGAGAGAUUGCAUAUGCUGCUGCUUAUAAUACAGCGAGGACUAAUCAGAAACCUGUUUGUACACAUUGUGGAAAGCAAGGUCAUACCAUACAGAAAUGCUUUAAGCUGCAUGGUUAUCCACCAGGGUAUAAGACAAAUGGUUACAAUACAAAGGGUGGAACUCAGACUGUGAUUCAACCUCAGAAUGCACAAUCUCAGGGAGUUCUUCAGCCAAGAAUGCAGACUCAACAAUAUCAACCACGAAUGCAAUUGCAAAUGGUUCCUUAUGAUCCGAUCAAGCAUGCUAAUGCUGUUGCAAAUGUCUGUACUGAAUCGGCUUCAUAUCAACCUGGAUUUGGUUCUUAUCCACAGCCUGUUCCAUCUUAUAUGUCUCCUCCAUAUGUGCCUACACCAGCAGCUCCUCCUGCUACUAAUGAUGGUCUCAUUCAGCACAUUCAGGAUUAUUCACCACAGCAACUUCAACAACUUAUAUCACAAUUUAACACUCAAGUAUCAGUUCCAGAGCCUUUAACUACUUCUAAUACAGCAAAGGUCACUGAACAUGGCUUUAUGGCUCAGACAUCAACUUCUGGUACUAUUUCCUUUCCUUCAACUAGUCUUAAAUACGAGAAUAAUGAUCUCAUUUUUCAAACACAUACUCUCUCUUCUUUACAAAAAUUACUUCCACAUGAUGCUUGGAUUAUUGACAGUGGAGCUUCUAGCCAUGUGUGUUCUGAUCUAGCAAUGUUUAGGGAAUUAGUACAUGUUUCUAGUAUCACAGUGACUCUUCCGAAUGGUACUAGGGUUCCUAUUACACACACUGGCACAAUUUGCAUUUCACAAACAUUGAUAUUGCAUAAUGUACUUCAUGUCCCUGAUUUUAAAUUCAAUUUCAUUAGUGUUAGUUGUUUGGUUAAAUCUCUUUUCUGUUCUGCUCAUUUCUUUCCAACUUGUUGUCUUAUUCAGGAACUUUCUCAGGGCUUGAUGAUUGGGAGGGGUAGUCUUUACAACAAUCUAUAUAUUCUUGAUCAAGAGAAUAAAUCCCCUUCACCAUCACUUCCUGCAGUCUGUUCAGUUUCUUCUUCUGAUGUUUCUGAUGGAGUUUUAUGGCAUCAAAGAUUAGGACAUCCUUCUUCAAGUGUGCUAAGUAAAAUAGUUAGUAUUUCUUCUAUUAAGAAUCUAGUUUCUGAUGUAUCUCAAUGUUCUAUUUGUCCUCUUGCAAAACAAAAACGAUUAGCUUUCAUUUCUCGUAAUGUUUUAGCUUCUAAACCUUUUGAUUUAGUCCAUCUAGAUAUCUGGGGGCCUUUUAGUGUUCCAUCUAUAGAAGGAUACAAAUAUUUCUUUACUCUUGUAGAUGAUUGCACACGGGUUACUUGGGUGUAUAUGUUGAAAAAUAAAAGUGAUGUUUCUAUUGUUUUCCCUGCAUUUCUGAACUUGAUAUCUACUCAAUAUGAAUCAAAGAUAAAAGCUAUUAGGUCUGACAAUGCACAUGAAUUAGCAUUUACUGAUAUUGUUAAAGAACAAGGCAUGAUUCAUCAAUUUAGUUGUGCUUAUACACCUCAACAGAACUCAGUUGUAGAAAGGAAACAUCAACAUUUGUUAAAUGUAGCACGCUCUCUUUUAUUUCAAUCUAAUGUUCCAUUGCAAUAUUGGAGUGAUUGUGUAAUGACUGCUGUGUUUCUUAUAAACCGUUUACCUUCUCCAUUGCUGAAUCAUAAGUCACCUUUUGAGCUCUUGUGUAAUAAAACACCUGACUAUUCUCUUUUAAAAACGUUUGGCUGUCUCUGUUUUACAUCAACAUAUCUGCAUACUAGGAAUAAGUUUACUCCUAGAGCAAAGCCUUGUGUGUUUUUAGGUUAUCCAUCAGGUUACAAAGGUUAUAAAGUUUUGGAUUUAGAGUCUCAGUCUAUUAGUAUUUCUAGGAAUGUUAUUUUCUAUGAGCAUAAAUUUCCUUUUAAAGUUUCAGCUUUGUUGAAUAGGGCUGUAGAUAUGUUUCCAAAUACAAUAUUACCUAUGCCUGCUCCUUUACAUUUUGUUGAUUCUUUGUCUCUAUUUGAUGAUGAUGAUGAGGCUAUUGAUCAUACUAAUCAUACUGUUCCUUGCAUACCACCUGUUACACAAAUAGAACCUAGUACCAUUCCGAAUGAGCCUGCUGCAGAUAUACAAGUGACAGAUACUAAUUCUGUAUCCCUUGCUAGGCCAAAACGGACAACUAAAGCUCCAAGGUACUUAUCUGAAUAUCAAUGUAAUCUGGUUCCUUUUGUUUCAAAUACUAUAUCUACUUCUAAUAUCUCUUUGACACCAAAUACUACUCCUCUUUCUAAACCAGAAACUUUACAUUCAAUUUCUACUAAAUCUUUUCCUUUAAAGCCUUUCACUACUCCUUAUCCCAUUCAAUCCUUUGUUACUUUAGAUCAUUUUACACCACAAUACCAGUCCUAUAUCUUUUCUUAUAGUCUAGAGACAGAGCCAAAAACAUUUGCACAGGCCAUUAAAUCUGAAAAAUGGACUAAGGCUGCAAAUGAGGAGUUAAAUGCUCUUGAGCUGAACAAUACUUGGGUUGUUGAAUCAUUACCACCAGACAAGAAUGUUGUAGGUUGUAAAUGGGUGUUUACCAUUAAAUACAAUCCCGAUGGUACUGUAGAACGCUACAAAGCGCGGUUGGUCGCUCAAGGCUUUACACAACAGGAAGGCAUUGACUAUUUGGAUACUUUUUCUCCUGUAGCAAAGUUAACAAGUGUGAAGUAUAUACUUGCUUUAGCAGCUGCCAAAGGAUGGAGCUUAACACAAAUGGAUGUGUCAAAUGCCUUCUUACAUGGUGAAUUGGAUGAAGAAAUAUUCAUGAGCUUACCACAGGGCUAUACACCUCCACAGAAUGUCUCAUUACCUCCAAAUCCGGUUUGUCGACUUCUUAAAUCUCUCUAUGGUUUAAAGCAGGCAUCCCGUCAGUGGUACAAACGCCUUUCUUCAGUUUUGUUGGGUGCUAACUUUGUUCAGUCACCAGCAGACAAUACUCUGUUUACCAAGAUACAGAAUGGAUCAUUCAUUGCUGCAUUAGUAUAUGUUGAUGACAUAAUGAUCGCAAGUAAUGAUGAUAAUGCAGUGGAACAAUUGAAGGAGCUAUUGAGAUCAGAAUUCAAGAUAAAAGACCUUGGUCCAGCAAGAUUUUUCCUUGGCUUAGAGAUUUCAAGAUCAUCAAAAGGUAUCUCUCUGUGUCAAAGAAAAUAUGCUCAGAACUUGUUGGAGGAUGCAGGCUUCUUAGGCUGCAAACCAAGCUCUAUUCCAAUGGAUCCAAACCUUCAUCUUACUAAGGACAUGGGAACGCUCUUGGCUAAUCCUACUUCUUAUCGCGAACUGGUUGGAAGAUUGCUCUAUCUAACCAUCACGAGACCAGACAUAACUUUUGCAGUUCAUCAAUUGAGCCAAUUUAUCUCAGCACCAACUGAUAUUCAUCUUCAGGCUGCUCAUAAAGUCCUAAAAUACAUCAAAGCUAAUCCUGGACAGGGUUUGAUGUACUCUGUUGACUCUGCGAUAUGCUUAAAUGCAUUUUCUGAUGCAGAUUGGGGAAGAUGCAGUGAUACAAGGCGCUCCAUUACUGGUUUCUGUGUCUAUCUCGGAACUUCUUUGAUCUCAUGGAAGUCUAAAAAGCAAGGAGUCACAAGUAGAAGCAGUACUGAGUCUGAAUACAGAAGUAUGGCUCAAGCAACCUGUGAAGUUAUCUGGCUUCAACAAUUGAUGAGAGAUCUACAGGUGAAGCCUACUUGCACUGCAAAGUUGUUCUGUGAUAAUAAGUCUGCAUUAUACAUUGCGAUGAACCCAGUUUUUCAUGAAAGGACAAAACACAUAGAGAUAGAUUGUCAUACAGUUCGUGAUCAACUAAAGGCUGGUAAUCUCAAGGUUCUACAUGUUCCAACAGAUAAUCAACAUGCAGAUAUACUCACAAAACCACUACAUCCAGGUCCAUUUUAUCACUUACUCUCAAAGCUUUCACUUUCAAAUCUUUAUCUCCCUAACCAGACAGUUGGAGACUAAAGAUUUGAGGGGGGUAUAUUGAGAUAUUGAUAAUGGUUAUCCGGUUAUUGAGAUUGAUGAUUGGUUAUUUCUGGUUAUUAAGAUUGAGUAUUAGAAAGAUGUAUAAAUACAGAAUACAUGUAACUUUACUGAUUAAGCUUUGUAAUACACUUUUAUCCGUUAAUAAAGUUUGUUACAAUUGCUUCACUCUAUCUUCUUCUUCUUCUUCUCCGAUCUAUAUUCCGGUGUAUCAGAGUUCUUUAAUACUUGCACGCAAUUUGAAGAUCUUGCAGGGGUCAUCCAGGGAGAUCGUAGUCCUUUUUAUGUGCUUUUGUAGUUCUUGUUGGUCGAAUAGUAUUCUAGUUGACGUCAGAAGAUCAUAAAUUGUGAUUUAUAAGAUGCAAAAUGUGAUUUUCGGAACAAAGUGAUAUGACCUUUAUAGAUGAAAACUAUUAUCCCCUUGUCAUUUCCAAGUAGAGUCUACCAUAUAUAUAGUUUACCCAUUGCUGAUAAGCAUGCCAGCUCUGCUAAAUCCAUUAAGAAAUAUUAAGAAUAUUUGCUUAUAUAUUGUUUACUGUUGCGGAAAAAAAAACAGACAAGAAAUAACGAGUUAAAGCAACAUUAUUGGAGAGCUCGUAAGUUUUGUUCUUACCAAUUUUUUGUAUUAGAAUUUUAAGAGUUUCAAGUUUUUGCUCUUAAUUAAGAGACCAUCCCUAGCUUUUUGGCUCAUUUUUUCACUUUUCUUCUCUUAAUAUUAUCCUUAAAGUUUCUUAAAUCUCUUGUUUAAGCAAUUUUGAACGUAGCUUUUAGCUAUUUAAACAAUUCACAUCAUUUUUUGUUAAUAACUUUUCUCUCUCUAAAAUAAGAAAUUUGUCUUAACAACUCCUCAAUGGAUCGAAUUAAGUUGUUGUAACUGCUGGUUUCAGUCUUUGAGCGAUUAGUGAUUACACGUUCUUUUUUGUUUUGUUUUCAUCAGGUAUUAAUUAACGAAAAUCAAAACAUAUUUUUGCUUUAUGUUUAAAGCCAUUCCAGCGACGUAUUUCGACGUUAGAAUUCAGCGUUGGUGAUUAGAAGUUUUCAAAAGCUGUAAACUAUAACAUUUUAAUUGUCGGAUCGUCAAAACAUGUCGUCGAACACUCGAACUAACUAACUAGCAAUUACAAGACACAUGCAUGCAUGUCCUAAUUAUUAGACAUAUAAAAAAAAAAAAUCAUUUCUGUAAUUAUAAUUAUGUUAAGACAGAAAAAGGACAUAUUGCAGUUUAGUAAUCUUUAUCAUGUCCUUCACCUUAAUAUUUGGGCAAAAACACACAUAUACUGUAUGCAUGUGUGUACGAGUACGAAUCAUAAAAUCAGAAGAAAAAACAAAUCAGAUACAAAAACGCUGCGUUUUUAAACUUUUUCUCUUUCUCAAAAACGCAUUACCGGUUUUAUUGCAACCGGACAUCACCGGUUCAUUAUCAAAUACUAAAUGGGUAUGAAAAUACCGAACCUGUGACUUGAAACUUUGUGUCCGGUUUUUUAAAAAUGGUUCUCACCGUUGAUGCCAUAACCGGACAUUAUCAAAUUAUUCAACCAAACCGGGUUUGAACGAGCAAAAAAGCAUGAUGUCCGGAGGAGGAAAGAGACCGUUGUAGAUCUGUCUUCUUCAUCGGAGAUGGUGAAACACAGAAGUUCAUCUCGUUCGAUAGUCUCAUCUUUUUCUUCAGCUAGACUCUUCUCUACGAAAGCUAUUUCUCUCUACUUGAUCUUCAUAUUUGCUUUUACCAUCUGGGUUCUUGUCUUCAGCUCCAGAAACAUACAAACCGACGAUGACCAAACCCGACAGCAACACCAACAUCGGGAUCUAAUCGAUUCAGUAUCAUUUCCGCCCCCGUAUUUGCCUCCCAGGAAGGUAAAGUUCUUAGUGUUUCAUGGUUUUUAGAUUUGAAUGUAGAAAUGAAGUGUCUUGAUUUGGUUUUUGAUUGGAACAAUUGAGAAAGUAAAACUCUUUGAUGAACCUAUUUGAGCUUCAGAAUUUGCAGAAUUCGAAUGAAAAUACCCAACUUUGGACUCCUCCUUUCAGCUUUGGUUUGCAUCCAUGUGUCAAAGCUACUCAUAAAUACAAAGGUAAACAAAAAGAGCUCCAUUUCAAUCUCUGAUGGUUUUUGCACAUGAAUUGGGAAUUUUGAUUUGAUUUCAGAUUCCUUUCUCUGUGUUGUUAUUCUUAAACCCACACAAUUGUCGUUAUCUUUUGCAGAAUUUUCAGAAUCAGAUCAUUAUAUAACAGUGAGAAGUAAUGGUGGGCUAAAUCAAAUGCGCACUGGUGUAAGUAAUACUAAACCAGACACUAUUUAAGCUGAUGUUUUCAUGUUACAUGUUUUGUAGAGAUGUUUCUACCAAAUCCCAACUGAUUUGAGAAGCAUACCAUUGUACAGAUAGCAGAUAUAGUGGCUGUUGCCCACAUCAUGAAUGCAACUUUAGUCAUUCCUGAGCUGGACAAGCGUUCGUUUUGGCAAGAUUCAAGGUAUUUGGAACUUCAAACAAACAAAAAAAUGCAGUUUUUUUUGUUACUAGUUAUGAAUUGCUAACUUACACUUUACUAUGCCUCAGUGUUUUUUCAGAUAUUUUUGACGAGGAACACUUCAUCAAAUCCCUGAAGAGAGAUGUGAAGGUUAUUAAAAAGCUCCCAAAGGAAAUGGAGUCUCUUCCUAGAGCACGGAAGCAUUUCACUUCUUGGUCUAGUGUUGGAUAUUAUGAAGAAAUGACUCACUUGUGGAAGGAGUACAAGGUCUUAAGCAACUUAUAUAUUUGCCUCUACUGUUUCACUCAUCUACUCAUUACUCAUUUUGUAGCAUACCGAUGUUGUGAAUCACUGACAGAAAAACAACAAUGCAGGUCAUACAUGUCCCGAAAUCAGAUUCUCGUCUUGCAAAUAAUGACCUGCCUAUUGACAUUCAGAGAUUGAGAUGCCGUGUGCUGUAUCGUGGUCUCCGCUUCUCUCCUGCCAUUGAAAGCCUUGGACAGGUUUGGACCCUUUACUGUUAAUUGGUACUGCUCUUCUGUGUAAUCAUCCACACACAACAUAGAUAGGCUGUAGUAAAAUUUCAUCCUUUGCAUACACAGAAAAAAAUCAAGUUUAUGUUCUCUUUGGGUGCUGAAUAGCUAUUAUAGAAUUUCUGUAUCCAUCGUAUGGGUCAAUGACUUUCAUCAUCUUAUGAUUGAAAUAUCAAUAACAUAUAUGAUAUGUUUGAGGCCUUAUUUGGAGAAGCCUGAUAGAAGAAUGAACUCAAAUUUUUCUAUCAUACAUAAGUCUCAGUAGUUUAUGCAUUUAAGAGGUGUCCUAUGGGGCUUCCUGUAGACUUUGGGUUCUGAGCAAUCAUGACGGUGACACCACAGAAGCUGGUUGAGAGACUCAAGGCACGUGCUGGGAGAUAUAUUACAUUGCACCUGAGAUAUGAGAAAGACAUGUUGGCUUUCACUGGCUGUACCUAUGGUCUCACUGAUGCUGAAUCCGAAGAACUAAGAGUAAUGCGGUAAUUGAUUACUCUGCGCAUAUAAUCUUUACAAAGUAAACUUGAAAGAUCAAAAGUAUAAACUCAUCUAAACUAAAAGUUAUGGUUUUAAGCUCAAUAAUACCGGUUGAUCGCAGGGAAAGUACAAGCCAUUGGAAGAUCAAAAGUAUAAACUCAACAGAGCAGAGAGAAGAAGGCCUCUGUCCAUUGACUCCAAAAGAAGUGGGAAUAUUUCUGAAAGGUCUGGGAUAUUCUCAGUCAACAGUCAUUUAUAUUGCAGCAGGGGAAAUCUAUGGGGGUGAUGAUAGACUCUCUGAGCUUAAGUCGCGCUUCCCAAAUCUAGUUUUUAAGGUUUGUUCAACCACCUCUUAAAUAAUCCAUGUUAUUGGCAACCUAAAGAUGAUAUAAUGUUUUGUUUCAUGUACUGGGUUUUGUAGGAAACACUAGCUGAAAAAGGCGAGUUAAAAGGUUUCACAGGUCAUGCAACUAAAACGGCUGCUCUUGAUUAUAUAAUUUCAGUUGAGAGUGAUGUGUUUGUUCCUUCACAUUCUGGAAACAUGGCAAGAGCUGUUGAAGGUCACCGCAGAUUUCUAGGUCAUCGCAGGACUAUCACUCCAGACAGGUUCUAUAUCCUUCCUUUGUUGUCUUCUAACUUCGAAAAGUUUUCAUCAUUUUCAUCUUUUACUCAUUUUUAUAUCCCAUGACAACUUUUGUUGUGAUGCAGGAAAGGAUUAGUGAAACUCUUUAGUAAGAUGGAGAGAGGACAGUUAAAAGAAGGACGAAAGUUGUCCAAUCUUGUGAAGCAAAUGCAUCAAGACAGGUAAUAGAUAAUCUUAUCUUUGCUUAUACAAGUCAGAAUUGCAAUAAACCUAAAACAAAUCAUCUUUGAUGCGGAAAUACAUUAUUUCGCUCGGUUUUGCAGGCAAGGUGCACCGAGAAGAAGGAAAGGACCAACACAGGGGAUCAAAGGACGUGCCCGGUUUCGAACUGAAGAAGCCUUUUAUGAGAAUCCAUACCCAGAAUGUAUUUGCAGUUCAAAGGAGCACAGAGAACCCUAACUAUAUUUUCCAACUUUUGUUGGUUUCUUUAAAGACCAUGAACAAACGUUUUUUUUGUUGUUCUGUAUACACGCCCAUUUAUAUAGUCAUCGUAAUCAUAGUUAUCACAUUUCUCAGAUUUUCUUAUUUUCUACAACUUGGUUUCAUCCCAGACAGAAAUCCAGACUAAUCCUGACCAUGUAUCUAAACAAUUUACAAUAGCCAUGUUUUUUCGGCAUUCAAAGAUUUAAAAUAUCUUUCAGACUAUCGUCAGCUUUAAUGGAAACAAGAACGAAACAUCAUAGCUACUACUGAUCCAGACAAAAGAUUUCUACUGUUACACGAUCUACUGAACAAAAGGCAUGUUAAAUUUUUACAGACAGAUGUCAUCUUAAGGAUUAAGGAAACGAAAAGAAGACCAUAACCAUUUUGAAGUGUAACACGGUUCUUAGCUCUGCUCUUUGUAAGGAGUCCAGAUCAUUUUGCUAACAUCUACAUCAAGGCCUCCUCGGCCUGCCGCCUUCAAAUGUCUAUCCAGUACCUUAGGAUCUGCGCAGAUCACGUGUUGUCCUUUCCUGUACUGUAUCAGUUCCAAACUCUGAAGGGUGCUUAAUAUAUCUUCUGCUUUGAUUGCUGUCAUGUCACUCAGCUCCUACAUUUGGAACAAGGGUUGAGUUAUAUGAAAUAGUAUGUUGUUGCAUAGGCUAAAAAGUAUAAUAAAAGAGACAUAUAAUAUACCUUGAUAGAUAUGUUUCCCUUGUGCUUUUUCAAGAUGUCUAAUAAAAUCCGAGUCCAGUAUCCUCUGUAACUCACUAAGCCAAGAUCAGAGAGGGGUCGCUCUGGUGUCCCGACUUUGCCUUCUUUCUUUGAGAGUUCAUAGGCUAUAUAAUGCAGAAUAAUGUGUAAGCUUUAUAGAGAGAUGUGAGAGAAAAUAAAGAGACUAAAAUGGAAAAAAAAAAACUCACAGAAGGCGAUUAAGAAUUUUCCGUAGCCUUUCCUUUGAUAAGGAGGAAGGGUGAGGAUGCAAGCCAAGUUGUAAGCUUCUUCAGAGUGUUUCUCCUGUAUCAACAGAACUUGCAUCAUUUCUACACACUAUCAAAUGGAAACCAAAUAUGUACAUAACGGACCCAAGAGCCAAGAGUGCUGAACCUUUGAAAAGUAUCCAACCAUGUGACAUCCACGAUCAUCACAUUCGCAGAGAAUAUAAAAUAGGAACAAAUCAACAUCAUAGUAAAGAGUUUUGUGGUCAAGAAAUAGCUUGGCCAGAUAACAGAGGUUCUGUGCAUAGACCUUGUUCUUCUUGCCAUCCACCUGUAAGAUAUUACAUAACACUCCCAGGUCAUCAAACGUAUGUAACAACGCUGAAGAUAUGAACAUAGAUAAGAAGGCUAGAGCAGACGAUAUAAAACUGAAUAUCUUAGGAGAUUACCUCAAACAUUGACAAAGUAGAACUUCGAUAGAUUUCAUCCCCAGGGGGGUGCUUCAGAUCGCAUUUUCUCUACAUAAACAAGGACAAUUGAGUAAAAGUUAAGUAAAAGUAAUGAAUACAACUUGAAUGAACCAUGAAAGGUAUGUAUGGAAAAAACAAUUAAGGUACUUACCAUAUGCCUUUGAAGCUGCUCUUUGCGUUUCAUAAAACUGAGGCAAAACUCACAGAAAAAGAGCUUCACGCAGUCAUUGUAUUCUGGCGGGAAAGGAGAAAAGUACCAUGUCUCAAUUUCAUAUUUCCCAAGCUCAAUCGUUGCUAUGUUCUUCACUUUCGUGAAUUCCUCGUGUUCUCGUAAACUUGCAGCAUCCAGCUCUUCAUGACCCUUUACAAAUGUUGAAAAACAUCAGAGUAUAUCCUGACACACAGUUCACCACAACCAAUUUUUACUAAAGAUAGACAAUCGCUUACCUCUACAUGAGUCUCAUCAAUCUUCCGUUUCUGGUGUCGUGUCAUCUUCAAGCUAGUCACCUAUUACCACAACAAAAACGCUUCUCUGUUUCAGUGCAAAUUACGGAGAAGAAAGCUCAAGGAUUUAAAGAAAAAUGGCUACCUUGUCUUCAACUUUUUCAUCUAAAGCACACUCUACUGAAUCAAGGUCUAGCUGCUCCAGCUUAAUCCAUUCAUCCAAUCUUCUAUUAACUGCAGAAUUCACAAGAGCUCUGAAAAUCAGACACAACUUGAAUUUCAAGCCCUUCACUUCAAUUUCAAAAAUUUCAUCUCCAAUCCCUAAACCCUAGAUUCACAAAAUUAGGCAGAGAAAGGAAACAACAUACACUCUGUGUAGUGAACGUAAUACUCGUAGUCAUUGUGGCCACCAUUAUAAUUCUUCCGGCGCUCGAUAACCUUCACCGGAUGGUACUUCCCGUCUCUCCAUUGACACAUCACGCGAGUACCAACCUCGAGCGGAAGCACCCCUGUUCUUCUCUUCUUCGACGAUUCCGGUUCUGAGACGACGAGAUCGAGUAUCGCAGCAGGAGUAUGAUUCGUAUGCGCAUCUCCACCGUUGGUACCGGGAUUAUUGUGGUUCGACGCCGGUGAGGCGGAGACAAUCGCCGUCUCUGUAUUCGCAGACGAUCCCAUUUCUUCAGUCGGGUCGAAGAUGUUUCCCGGGUGGAUUGGUUUUUACAUAUACGGGUAAAGAACACAAUUUGUAAUUACAGUGUAGCCCAUUGAUCGCUUUUAUGGCUUAUAAUUUGGGCCUAUAUCUUUUAUGGGCCUGUGGUAUUAUGCUAACAGUCAAUACACACGUUUAUAACUGUUGAGUUUAAGGUUUAAAAUUUCUAAUCUCCAGGUUAAAUUAUAGCAAUAAUGAUUAGUAGUAGUUUAACAAUAAUUUCAAAAUAAGAAGAAAACGAGUGACAGAGUCAGUUGGGUUUUGUCGUGAAUGGGAAACAGCCAAACAAGGCUUUAUGAUUCGUAUUUGAUAACACAAGAUUCACAGAUCAAAAACUCACAAAGUUCCAAGAAGGAAACACCAACUCACAACUCAUCAUCAUGUCCUUGAACUUAUGGUCAUAACUCAUAACAGAUUCGCACACCAUGUUCCUCUAAAUUAACCAAAAUGAUUUUUAAAGAACAAGAAAAAAGAUUCGCAUGGUCACUUUACUGUAUCUUGUAAAUGAAAAUUUACAAUCACAUUUCUUAAAGUGAAAAUUUACAUAUCAAUUUAUUUAUUUAUUUUGUAUUUCCGGAGUAGGUAAUAUGUGACUUGACUUACUUUGGAAUGAAGAAAGAAUACAAUUGAUUCUUAUUUCAGUUGUUCACAUGUAAACACGUUAUAUGGCAUCUUGACAAAAAGAAAUAUCACAUAUUCACAUUAAGAAUUCUUUUGUUUUUGAUAUAGGAAUGUAGCAACAAAUUCCAAUUAUACGAAUUAAUUUGGUGGUAUUACAUAUGUAUUCAUCUUUGUGAGUAUGGUCAACAAUAUGCAUUAUGUAAAUUGAAUCCGAGUUGUAUCAGUGAUAAUAGUUUAAAACUAAAUAUCAUGGUAAACGUAGUUAAUUUGUUGUUGUAGAUAGUUUCAUAGAAUGGGAGAGAUAUCUAUAUAAUAAUUUUCAUAACAUAAAGUUUAAUACUAAAAAACCAUUCCUUUUUUUUUUUUUUUUUAUAACACAAACCAUUCCUUAGUUUGCAACUACAAAUGAUAAACAAAAAUAGUAUUUAUUUUAAAAUAUUUAUAAAAUGUGUAAAAUCAAGAAGCUGCUGAAAAUAUAAGACAAGAAUCCUCUUUCUUCCAUCUCUAUCUCUCCAAAGACAGUUGCUCAACCCCUUCUUCUUGAAAUGGCUUCUUCUUCUCUUAUCUUCAUGCUCCUCCUCAUCUUCACCCUAUCCUUUUCAUCACCAACUCUAAUCUCAGCCAAACCCAACACGACAAUAAUCGAAUCAACUUGCAAAAACACAAACAACUACAAAUUCUGCGUGUCGGCUCUCAAAUCCGACCCAAGAAGCCCCACAGCCGACACAAAAGGUCUCGCAGCCAUCAUGGUCGGAGUUGGCAUGACAAACGCCACCUCCACCGCAACUUACCUCGCCGGAAACCUAACCUCCGCUGCGAACGACGUCGUCCUCAAAAAGGUCUUACAAGACUGCUCCGAGAAGUAUGCCCUCGCCGCUGAUUCUCUUCGGCAAACAAUUCAAGAUCUUGAUAGUGAAGCCUAUGACUAUGCUUCCAUGCAUGUCUUGGCGGCGGAGGAUUAUCCUAAUGUUUGCCGCAAUAUUUUCCGGCGAGUUAGAGGGCUGGCUUAUCCGGUGGAGCUUCGCAGGCGUGAACAGAGCCUGAGACGUAUCUGUGGUGUUGUCUCCGGGAUUCUUGACCGCCUUGUUGAAUGAUUUUACAAUAUUUGCAUUAACGUUGGUAAAAUCUACUAUGUUUUAAGUUAUCGUAUUAAAUGAAUUUUUAAUGUGGAAUCUGUAACCUUUUUAAUACCGUUACUAUAUUACUCUUCUUCUUCGCAACUACUCUUCUUCCAAAUUACCAAAAGCAAAAUUAUUAGAGAUCAUCUGAACAUUUGAAUUUAAUAUUUCGCAAUCAAUUUACUAAUCAUACGAAAAUCUUAAGUCGUCUUUAGUGCGAAAGAUUUGGGGGAAAAGGCGCUAUUAAGAGUUGGGAAGUAGAGAUAUUUUUUUAUAGUUCUUUGAUUGAAUAUAACUUUAGGUAACUUUUGCUUUAUCUAUAUGCAUUAUACGUGUUAUCGCUUGUGUAGAUGUGUUUACACUUUAAAAAUUGCGAUAAAGGUCUUUAAAGUGUCAUCUAAAAGAAAAAAAGGAUAAAGGUAACGUCGUCUAUAUAUAUUUAAAGCUGAAUAGUCAUCGACCUCAUAAACUACUACUAGACUACCCUUGCUUUUAUAAGACGACGUCGACUGAUAUACGAAUCAAAAGCAAAAGCCAAAAGAUGUGUGACUUUUUUCUCAUACCAAAAAUAAAUCUGAUGUAUGUAAGUAUGUUCGUAGGUCAGUGACUACAGUUCUUACUUCUCUCUAUCGGUUUUUUAAAAAAUAGACUCAUAAUUGAACGAUGAUGUAACCGUAUUGCCCACAACAACAAUCUGAUGGUUUAAGUCGAACGAAUAGUCAAAAUAGAGUUUAGCGGUCCAGUGACUCCAGUCAAAAUGUUAAAUUGUUAAUUUAAUACGAGAGUCAAAGCAAAUAAUUAAUUCGGUACACUGAUUUCAGAUUAAACCGGGCUAGGCGGUGGAUAAAAUCGUCAUUUGACACACAGACUAUAUUUUCGCGCCCAAAAGACGCGCCACUGUGACAGAGUCCUUUUUUUUUUUUUAAAGUUUAUUCGUCUUCAUCUUCCCACUACACUUACUAAUCCGUAAAAACCUAGAAAUUUUCCCUAAUUUUCUCGAGAAAAUCCGCCACGAUUCUGGGGCGUUGUGCACGAUUUGACCCCAAAGAAAAUGAAGGGAGGUACGAUACAGAUAAGCUGGCACGACGGGAAACCGGUGCUAACCCUCGAUUUUCAUCCGACUUCCGGUUUACUCGCCACCGCCGGAGCCGAUUACGACAUCAAGGUAAUGCAAUUCUUUACUCAAAUAUCGCUUUAUACAUAUCAUUAAGAUCUGAUUGCUGUUAAUUUUGGAAUUUGAAUGUUUGAAACUCCGAUUGUUCAAUUCUAAUUGUUUUGAAAUCUGGAUUUAUUUUUUUGUCCACCGUCGACUAAAAAUUGAAAACAAUAAUAAUUUCAGCUAUGGUUGAUAAAUUCUGGUCAAGCGGAGAAGAAGAUUCCUAGUGUAUCUUACCAGAGUAGCCUUACUUACCAUGGAUGUGCUGUUAAUACCAUUCGUUUUUCUCGAUCUGGUAAGCACCAGCUUUUUGUUAUAUGAUAUAUCUGAGAUGUUCUUCAGUUGUAAUCAUGUUACAUUUUAUGUGUUAUCUAGUGGUGACGACUAUUCUGUUAUGAUGUGCAGGGGAACUACUUGCCUCAGGAGCAGACGGUAUGAACUGAGAACCACCAACAUAUCUGGUGGCUAAGAUGCAAGUCUGCUUUUUGAAUAUUUUGGAAUGCGGAAAGAAACUAAUUGAGCAGUUCCAUUUCUUUGGUGUUAAUCCAGGAGGUGAGCUUAUCAUAUGGAAGUUGCAUCCUAGUGAAACCAAUCAGUCCUGGAAAGUUUACAAGUCAUUAUCGUGAGUCCUUUCAUCUCAAUAAUUAGCUACAUUGCCAUGCUUCUAUAAAUCUUUAAAUUGAAUACUGUUGUUCUAUCAUGACGGGAGAAUAUUCUGUAGGCUAGUGACAUUGUUGAAACAGUAUGAAAGUUUUACCACAAUUACCAAUAUGGACUCAAUCAAAUGUAGUAGGCCAUGGUGAGAAGCAUGCGGUACUAAAGUCCUCCAUUAUCUCAGGAGCAGCAAUGUAGGCUAAGAUAAUUAUUUUGUUUGACCUGCUAGAUUUCACCGAAAGGAUGUCCUGGAUCUUCAGUGGUCUCCUGAUGAUGCUUAUCUGAUUUCUGGCUCAGUGGACAACUCUUGCAUUAUAUGGGACGUUAACAAAGGUGAGAAAUAAGAGAAUAGAUAAGUUUUUAUUUGACAUGUUUGCUCCAGAUUUCCUGCUUCUCAUAAUUCUGUAUUUGCUACAGGUUCUGUCCAUCAGAUACUGGAUUCCCACUGUCAUUAUGUUCAAGGUGUUGCCUGGGACCCCUUAGCAAAGUAUGUAGCCUCUCUUAGUUCAGACAGGACAUGCCGUAUAUAUGUCAAUAAGCCUCAAACAAAGAGUAAAGGUGUUGAAAAACUGAACUAUGUUUGCCAGCAUGUUAUCACUAAAGCAGAUCAGCAACGGGGAGAUGAAACUAAGGUUAGAGAGAAAAUAAUUUCUUCAUGAUUCACACAAAUACACAGUAUUCCUAAUUUCAAAAUGGCAAUUAUGCAGACAAUAAAAACUCACCUCUUUCAUGAUGAGACAUUGCCAUCUUUCUUUCGAAGGUUGUCAUGGUCACCUGAUGGAUCUUUUUUACUCGUUCCAGCAGGUUAUUAUAUACAUUAAAACCAGUCUUGUUUUUUUCAGAAUAUUGGGCUAGAUCAUCAUAUUGUUUACUCUGGUAUUAUUUAUGUCCCUAACAUUUCUUGUCAACACUGUGUUGCAUUUCCAGGUUCUUUCAAGGUUUCACCCACAUCCGAAGCUGUAAAUGCUACCUAUGUCUUUUCUAGAAAGGAUCUUUCAAGGUAAGAUAAUCACCCCACCAUCUUUUGUAUGGAAGUCGUAAGACUUUUGGAAAAUAUUGUAAGUAUGUAAGCUCUUCUUUUAGCUAAGCCAAGUGACCUCAGUUGCUUGAGCUUAUGUAUGAGAUAUUUAUACAUCAAGACAAAGUCUCACACUAACUCAUUCCUUUUUCCACAAUCAGACCUGCACUGCAGCUUCCAGGUGCCAACAAACCGGUUGUAGUGGUUCGUUUUAGCCCUGUUGCAUUCAAACUCCGUGGUUCAAAUUCUGGUACAUAUUAUGCCAUUUUUUCUUUCUUUCUAAUGAUGGAAAAGAAGGCCGUCAUCAAGUAUAUAAUUUUCUUAAAUCUGCUAAUUUUAGUUAUUUCAAAUGGUAUUUUGAAUCAUGCAGAAGAGGGUUUCUUCAAGCUUCCUUACCGUCUCGUCUUUGCUAUUGCAACUUUAAAUUCGGUGUACAUAUAUGACACAGAGUGUGUGACUCCAAUUGCAGUCUUAGCAGGUCUCCACUACGCUGCAAUAACCGAUAUAACCUGGUAAAAAUAAUAUGCACAUUUAUUUCAGACCUGAAUGAUCCUUGUCCAAAUCUUCUUCAAUGUUUUAAAUUGUAACCAAUAAUCAUUUCUUUCAACAGGUCACCUAAUGCCUCCCAUCUAGCACUGUCCUCACAAGAUGGCUACUGCACACUAGUCGAAUUUGAAGAUAACGAAAUAGGAGAACCCAUCCCCAUAUCAGGUUUGCUCUUAGUUUUUUCACUCUCAACCUUCCAGAAUACCAUUUGACGCAUCAAUUCCAUUGCAGUCGGGAAGAAACCCGUGGACAGUGAGGAGAAACAGCAUGAUCUAGAGAAAACCAACGAGCUGACGACCGAAACAAAACCAGCUGAGAGCAGUAUACUGACUGAAUCAGAACAUUACGAGGAGAAUAUUAUGCAGAAACCCGAUAAAGUGAUGACGGAAACAAAAAAAGAGGAAGAGAAAGAGCCAUUGCAGAGCAAAGUUAACACACCUGUCUUAAACAAACCAGCGAGGAAGCGCAUCACACCUAUGGCUGUUGAUCCCUAAUGGUAUAAAACUAACCACUACUGAUGUAUACAUUUUGUUCCAUAUGUUUUUACUUUGCUACAAUUAUCUUUCUCAUAGUCUACAUAGUAGACAUGAAUUGUAUCAAUGGAUUUUUGUAGCAAAUUACGGGCACGAGCCCACGUUGGAAAUGGAUAAGUUUCUUUAGUCGGUCCUAUGUGGCUUUUCAAAACCGAUGUACUCACAUGUAUGAGUAUGACACAUGAGAUGGAUGGUUUUCUUGUGUGAUCAAUCAUGAGCUGGGCAUCAAAAGCCUUAUUAAAGGCCCAAACUUCAUAUAGCUAAAUGCAACAAUCUGUGACGCAAAAGGUAUGUUGUGUGUUGAGCUUUUUUGGCCCGUUUUAACCAAAUGUGUGAAUAAAACAAUAAUUGACCGGUAAAAAAAACCAUAAUUUUACCCUAAUAUUUAGUUUCCAAAACCUUUCUUCCCCCAAUAGCCGUAAAAAAGGUUAAAAAAAAAGAAACAAAAACCCAGAAAAUUUUAACUCUCUCGUCUCCUUCAAUGGCUAUCGCUCUCAAUCUCUGAAUUUCAUCCUCUGUCUCUUUCUCUCAAUCAGAGAUUUUUUCAAGUAUUCUUGAAUCUCAAUUUCUCUUUCUUUUUCCACUUUCAAUUAUACUUUUGUAUAAACAUUUUUACACAUAUACACAGACAUUUAUAAAAAUAUCUUGUCUCUCCCUCCAAUGGAUUCUCCGAAACUGCCGUACUCCCUCUCCGCCUCUUCCUCCGCCCCGUUUGCUUCAUCCGUCGUAAAACCUCACCAGAAAAAACUCCUUACCCGUAAUUGCAUCCUCAUCAUCAUCGCAACGUCCUCUAUUCUCCUCCUCCUCCUAACUCUCCUCAUCUACGCUACCGUCUCUAAAUCCUCCCGCAACCACCAUAACUCAACGCACCAAAACCCAACCUCCAACGAUCCUCCGCUUCCCCCUCCUCCGAUCGCUCAGAUCCGUCUGGCCUGCAACGCGACGCGUUUCCCAGACCAUUGCGUCACCUCCCUCUCUAAACCGGGUCAAGUCCCUCCGGAUCCUAAACCGGUUCAAAUAAUCCACUCUGCGAUUUCAGUCUCAUACGAGAAUCUCAAAUCCGGCCAGUCAAAAAUCAAGGCUAUCCUAGACUCAUCCGCAGAGAAUAAAAACCGUACGAACAUCGCCAACAUUUGCCUCGAGAUCCUCUCUUACGCUCAGCACCGUACCGAAUCAACGGACGUCGCCGUGACGGGAGGCGAAAUCAAAGACGCUCGUGCUUGGAUGAGCGCAGCUCUAGCUUACCAGUUCGACUGCUGGUCCGGUCUCAAAACCGUCAACGAUACGAAGCAAGUCGUCGACACGAUCACUUUCUUCGAAGAUCUCGUGAACCUCACCGGAAACGCGUUGAGCAUGAUGUUAUCGUUCGACAACUUCGGGGACGACAUCGUUUCGUGGACUCGUCCAGCGACGGAACGAGAUGGGUUUUGGGAGAAAGCUGGGCCGAGUUUGGGCUCGGGUACGGGUAAAGAGGCUAAUUUGGGAUUUCCGUCUGGUUUAACGGAAGACGUGACGGUGUGUAAAAACGGAGGGAAAGAUUGUAAAUACAAGACGGUGCAAGAAGCCGUUAACGCAGCGCCGGAUACUAACGGAACCGUUAAGUUCGUGAUACGGAUUAGAGAGGGCGUGUAUGAGGAAACCGUUAGGGUUCCGUUUGAGAAAAGGAACGUCGUCUUCAUCGGAGACGGAAUGGGCAAAACGGUAAUUACAGGAUCGUUGAAUGUUGGACAACCAGGAAUGACAACGUUCAACUCUGCAACUGUCGGUGAGUUUUUUUCCGUAAAACCCUGUUUUUGAAUUUAUUAGAUUUAACUUGUUAUUUUUCUUCGUCAAUUUUAUUUAAGAAACAUAAAUGAGAAGAAGAACAUUAAAAGUCAAAAACAGAAAUUUGUUUUUUUCUUUUACUCUUGUGAAAGAUGGUAUCUCUUUUUAGUACUGUGUCCACACUCCACAGUGUCUAGAUUUGCUCUGCCACGUAAAAACGAAUAAUGAUUUAUUGAUAUUUCGAGAUUCAAGUUAUGUUCCUAGUUUCAAUAGAGACAGAACCCAUGUGACAUUCAGACAUUUUUACUUGGAAAAUAAUAUAUUCAUUGGAUCUUGUUAGUAUUAACAUAGAUCUUCUGAUAAUAGAAUAUAUAUAUAUAUAUAUAUAUAUAGUAAGUUGCUUAGUUUAAUCCAAGAAUUUUGGUUAUUCCAAAAUUUAUUUGUUUGAUGUUAUUAUAUGUUUUUGGCUUUGGUAGGAGUUCUCGGCGAUGGAUUUAUGGCUCGUGAUUUAACCAUAGAGAAUACGGCAGGAGCAGACGCGCGUCAAGCGGUUGCGUUUAGAUCAGACAGUGAUUUCUCAGUACUCGAAAACUGCGAGUUUCUCGGGAACCAAGACACUGUUUACGCUCACUCGCUCCGUCAGUUUUACAAACAAUGUCGAAUCGAGGGCAAUGUAGACUUCAUCUUCGGUAACUCAGCUGCUGUAUUCCAAGACUGUGAUAUCCUUAUCGCUUCCAAACAUUCCAAACUCGAAAAUGGCGCAAACAACGCCAUCACAGCACACGGGAGGAUUGACGCGUCUCAGUCCACGGGAUUUGUCUUUUCGAACUGUUCGAUUAAUGGAACUGAGGAAUACUUGAAAGAGUAUCAAGCUAACCCUAAAGGGCAUAAGAACUUCUUGGGAAGACCAUGGAAGGAAUUUUCGAGGACGGUUUUUGUAAACUGUAAUCUUGGGUCCUUGAUUAGUCCUGACGGAUGGAUGCCUUGGAGCGGGGAUUUCGCGUUGAAGACUUUGUAUUACGGUGAAUAUAAGAAUACAGGUCCGGGAUCGGAUAGAUCGAAUAGGGUUCCAUGGAGUAGUGAGAUACCAGAGAAGCAUGUUGAUGUUUACUCUGUCGCCAAUUUCAUUCAGGCUGAUGAGUGGGCUUCCACGACAGCUUGAUUUUGUAAAGGAAAAUGAGGCUUUACUUAGGUUCUGAAAUGAAGUCAGGAGAAUGUAACUUUAUUCUAGUGUUAAAUAUUAGUGUGGUAUCUUUAUCGCUAUUCAUAGAUUUAAUAAUUGAAGAUAACCAUCAAUCAUAAAGUUCUAAGCUUUUGAGUGAUGGAAGAAACCACGUAAACCAUAUCAUAGCAAAACGUACGAAGAUAUGAACUUUAAAAAUCUUAUCAUACUUUUCUUAGUGGUUGAAGACUCUCACUUCACUUCUUAACUUUAUUUUAUAUAUGCAAGAAAAAUGGAUAAAUGCUUGAUGCUUCAAUGGAAGCACAUAUAAACUGUUUGUUUCAAAGGGUAAAAAGAAAGUUACUAUGUAUUUUCUACCUUCGGUGAAACACAAAAUGAGGACAGUGAUGACUAACGUGACACACAAAGCUAUGGGGUCGAAGGAGAAACAACAUGGGAAAGAAAAGAAAAAGAAACAUGUUCUUUGGAGUGAGAGAGAGCAAAAGAGAGAUCUUAUAUUUAUAUGUCGGAAUCAGAACUCUUCUCUUCCUUUGGUGGUGCAUACUGCCUGGUGAGACGAGAUCUUUCCCAUGGGUCCAACGGCACUCGAGGUGGUGGUUGAGGUGUUGCUGGUUUCGAUUGCCUUAGCUCGUUCUCUCUAUCGAUAAACCUGCGCCAAGAAGAGUAUAACCAGUUGUUAGCUCACCAAGAAGAGUUUACACAUACACCAUAUAAUGUUUGAUUUUUAUGAUCAUUGUCCAUUUUGUUAUCAUCGAGGCUAUAGAAAACCUGAACUCAAUGCGGUUCUGUGAGAAGAAUGAACAAUAAAGAAAAGAAAUUUGUGCUUACUCGAUAUAGGCCAUUGGUGCAGCAUCACCAACACGUAUGCGAGUGCGGAGCAUUCUUGUGUAUCCACCAGCUCUGUCUCUGUAAAACACAUAACAUCCAUCUGAUGAAACAAAGUUGAGAGUAUUAAGGAGAGGUCCAAGAUUAAAAAAGGAAAAACAAGGUCAGAGGAUUCACUUGUAUCGAUAAGCCAAUUCAGUAAAAAUCUUGUGAAGUACAUCAUCUCCUCUAACAAACCCAGCAGCUCGCCUUGCUGCAGCUAGUGAGCCCUGUAAUCAAUCAUUUCAUCACCGAUAUGAAAGUGAUUGGCUAUCUGAUUAAUCUAAAUUGCUUUUGCUAUUUACUUCAACCACAAUUCUCGAAAACUACUUACAAAAGAAACAAUUUUUGAGCUUAUAAAACCCAAGAUUUGAGUACACUUAAACACAACUACAUGCUCCACACACACACAAAAAAAACAGCUAUGGUGUCUGAUUAUACAAAAGAUUCGAGAAAGUUGCUUAAACUUAUUGGAAAGAAAGUUAAAGGAUCGAUUUACCUCUUUGCCGAGUUGAACCAUAUUAUCAGCAAGACGACGGACCUCUUUAGCCUAAAAAAUCCAAUGUAAGUAAUGAGAAUACAUUUUUAGGACAAGACACACUACAAGUCUCCAAGAAAUGAGAGCACAGAUUCUCAAUAGCUGACUAUGUAUAAACCCUAGCUAAACCUCAAAUCAAAAUUAAAAAUAUAUAUAGAGAGAUGGGAAUCACUAAUUAGUACCUUUGUAACAGUGGUUUCAAUUCUCUCGUGUUUCACCAACUGAGAAACCAUAGUCCUGAUAAGAUUUGGAUUGGAAACAUAAAAUAGAGAAAUUUUAAGCAAUGUGCGAAGAAUCAAGGAUCGAUGAGAAAGUUUAUAGAAAGACAAUAAGAAGAAGAAACCUGAGCAUGGACAUACGGUGACCAGCUGGGCGACCGAGCUUCCUGAAUUUUGUCAUUUCUGCGACGGCGAAGCGAUCGGAGAAUCAAAAAUGGCGAAAAUGGGAAACAAGAAUGAAAAGAACUCACACGAAGGUGAACCCUGAACUUAGUAAUGGGCCGAAUCUUCUAAUGUUUGGCCCAAUAAAAAAGGAAUCUAAAAGCCGUUUGUGUAAAUUUGGACUUAAUUAGCCGUAGUGUUUAAACCAACCAUACGCAAAUCAACUGAGUCCAGUUAUAUACUCCACCAGUUGUUUGACAGUAAUAAUCAUAUUCUGAGCCGGAUUUUUCAUUUCCUUUCUUAUCGGAGCUAGCUUCUCUUCUCUCUUUGUUGUUCUUCCUCAAUUCAAAAUUAUUUAUUAUUUAUUCAGAGUUACACUUUGCAUUGACAUGCCUAACUUCUCCACUGACGUAAACUGAAGACCAUUUUUGUUACAACUUACAACACAAAACAACAGUCCCAGAGAAUAAAACACACAGAUCCCAAAUUUUGUGGGCGGUUUUGUCGACUCUUCUGCUCCUUCGUAUCGAGAGAGUCAAAGGCCAGCUCUCAAAGUUGGACUCGUUGAGAGAGAGAGAGAGAGAGAGAGACUUUAUAAUAUAAUCUUGAAUCUUUGUAACGAUUAGUAUACAGGUUUUAUAAAGCAACACUUGAAAAUCCGAAAACACAAAAAGUCAGUUGGACAUGCAUUAUAAUAUAGUCAACAUUUUAAAAAGCAAUAUAUAACUUUUAAAUGACUGUAGUAUAUAACUUCAAAGUGGUCCGAUACCAGCUCAUUAAUUCGUGGGUUUCUCAAGACCAUUUCCAAAACUUUAAAAGUAUUUGUAAGAGAGUAUAAAUAAGUAGGGGACUAAGGGAGUAUCAUCCAAUGAGAAUAGUCAAAUACUUAUAUAUAUGGGAUUCUUAUGAACUUUGCCAUUUCCUCACUCAAAUCUUUUAAAUGUGUCAUUUUCAUAUUUUGUGGAUUUUCCAUUUUUAAGUUUUUAAAAUGUGUGCUUUUAUGAUUUUUAUUUUGCUAAAAUACAUACUUCGUAACAAAUACUAAACCCAAAAAAAUGGAAUUAAGAAAAUCCAAACAUAAUAUGUAAACUUUUGUUUUUAAAUAUUAAAAAAUGACAAAUCAAAAAUAUUUUGAGUAAAAUGGCAAAAACUGUAAAUGCCAUUGAAAAAAGUCCUUCUCAAGUAAUUAACUUUAUAUAUAUUUCUACAGUUUUAUAAAGAAGAAAAAAAAAAAAAUCUUGGGACAGAAAAAAACAAAAAUCAUGUCUUUUUACAGAAAACAAUUAAGUUGAUCUGUUCAAAAUAUUGUUAAGUGACUAUAGUUUUUGAGAUUUUAAAUGGAUUUCUAACCAAAAAAAAAGUAAUAAUAAUACCACAAGAUGAGGAAAAAGAUAAAGAUGACUAAGACUUGUAAAUAGGCUUAUGUCUAUGUCGUGUAUGAUGUAUUCGAAUCUUCUAAAGACGAAUUGAAAAUCACAUGUUACAUCGUUACAUAUUCAUAUUUUUGUGGGUCGAUGGGAACUAUAUGACGUAUUCACUCAUCUCCUUUUGACAAUUUUGGACCUAUUAUUACCAACAGAAUAUAUAUAUCAAAAUCCGUAUUUUUCGAAAAAGCAAUUCCAUAUCAAAUGAUACGAAUUAACACUAUGAUUGGAAAAUUCAAGAACAUCAUUAUUAUUUGAUUUUACUUUACAGUAAUAACAGAACAUUUAGACUACAACAAUGAAUUGAAUCUUCUUCUCUUUUUUUUAGUUUAUAUUCAGUAUUCAAAAUUUCAAUUUGUUUUACAAUUUUUUCUCACUUUUUUUCUUUUCUUCCAAGAAACAAAUCCUAAGAACGAACCCUAAGUGAGUAAAAAAAAAAAAAAGAAUUGAUUAAAACGGCAUGAUAUGUGUCGUUUUGGUGUCGUAAGCCGAAAGGCAAGAUCUUGAAUUCACCUUGAACACUUUUAGAAGAUCCGUUAACAUACGUCUAACGGCGGGAGAGCAAUUGCUCUGUAACAGUAACAGAAUCUUCGUGACUCCGUUAGCACUCGUGACAGCUUCCAAUGCUUUAUCUUCUUUGAAAAGGUAUGAUACACUCCACAGCACCGUCACGGCGUGCUCUGUCGCCGCCGUCGACACUUUCAUCAGCUUUUUAACUACCGUUUUCAAACACUCGCCGUCUCCGCCGCAAAUCUCUGAUCUCCCUUCCUUAGUAGAUGCCAGAAUCUCGAGAAGCUUCAGACAUUUCUCGGUGACCGAAACGCUCGACGCCGUCGGAUCUGAUAACAAUUUAGUCACAUCUCCGAUGAGUUUCUCUCGGAUUAGGUUGAGUUUCACGCGUUUCGGUGAGCUAAUCGCGAUCAAACACGAUAAACUCGAUUCGAUUAAGCUCGAAUCUGAGUCUUUACUAAUCGAUUUCAUUAGCUCCGUCACCAAUCCAUCUCUCUCGGCUAUUAAAAGCUUUGAUUCGGCGUCGACGGCGAUGAACUCAAGUAAACCGGCGCAAUCAAUCUUCAAUUCGACAUUCCCGGUUCGAAACAAGAAGACGAUAACCGCUAACCGAUCUCGACCGUUAUUUAAAAUCAGAUUGGAAAACCGUCUCCGAUCUGAGAUUUUGGUUCGAACCAAACUGAGAAUCUUAACCGCCUCUUGAACAACCAGCGAUUUCGCGGCGGAGGUGGUUUCGAAAUCGACCUUGUCAAUCAGAUCGACGAGAAGCCUCACGAAAUCAUCUUUUCCGGCGAGAAAUCCUCUGUUAUCAUCAGAUUCUCUGCCGAAGCGAACAAUCUUGGACAAAACUUCGCGGUCGUCUCGCUCUUCUUUCUCGAUCUUCACUCUAUCAAUCGCAUCGGCGAUCUCAUCUCUCGUCGGAGCAGCUAACUCCGCCGACUCAACAGAAGCUCGACGACGAACAGAAUCAGACCAAAUCUCGAUCAAACGCUGAAGAGUCCGGUUAGGAAUGAAAUCCUUGUUCUGAAGAAUCUGCAUCGUCGCGGGACAAGUGUUGUUGCCGCCGUCGAGCCACCGUUGGAUACUAGCUCGAUCGUAGGUAACACCGGUGCAAAGACUCACCGGAGAUUUCAUAACGUCGAGAGAUAUAGGACAUCGGAAGAACGUAGGAACAGUGAUGCAGAGAUCAUCCUUCCUCAUUAUUGCUAUUUUUUUUUCUUUUUUGGUUUGCCGAUUUGCUCCGAUAUGAAAGCGUGUGGGAGAGAGAGAGAAGAGAGAGAGAGUUUUGUUUAAUGGUUUUAGUGCGUGGGGUUUGGUUUAAAAGAUGAGAGAGAGAGAGAAAAAACAAAGAGUCAAACUUUGGUGACGUCAAAUAAUUUCACUUUUUUGACGAGAAUUUUAACUAAUACUAGUAUUUUUAAAAAUAUCUUUUUCUAAAAUACUAUUUUUAUAAAGACCUACAUCGAAUAAAAACUUUUUCUUUUAACGUAAAUCGAAUAUAACUUUUAUUUUUUUUCCUUCUUUAUGCUAUUAUAAACUAACUAUACUACAAAAUUAGAAUAAUAUUUAUAGCACACUCCAAAGUUGAAUGAUAAUUUUCUUUAAAUCAAAACGUAAAAAACUAUUUUAAUUUUUAAGUGUUUUUCACUUUUGGUCGUUGGUCAAAGAAGUCUUUCGGCGCGUUAUAUUAAUAUUUGGUGGAGAUUUUUCAGUUUUCAAAACACAGCCGUUGAUCUACAAAUCUAACUCGUUGGAAUUGGACGGUGACGAUUUGAGUCCCACUUUACGUCUUAAGAACGCACCGAGUUUUUUUGGGGUUGUGCAAUCGCACGUUUGAGAUUUGUGGAAACGCACAACUCUUCUUUUUCUUUAUUAUUUUCUAUAUGACCCUUUCUAUUUUUAUUAUUUUAAGUUAUCUCCUCGUUCUCUUGUUUCCUCAGUUUUGGUCCUCAUCAUUUUCACAUUUGGGCGGUUCGUAAAAUCUAAAACGCGUAAUCAUACGAAAUAAUCGAAUACUACAUUACAUGCUCGUCUAAUUCUGUAAUUUGAUUAUUCUCACCCUUUCUUUGACAACAAAUUAUAUUGUUUACUAUAUAGUUAGGUGAAUCACCAUCACACUUUUGAUAAUGAUAAUAUUUGUAAAGUGAGUGGAGUGCAUUACAGACUUACAAUCUCAACUUUCAUGGUAGCAAUGAUUUCAACGGUAGCAAUAUCUUUUUUAUGUUCAGUUCGUGCAAGAAUUUGACUUAAGAUUUAUGUAUUUAGCAACCUAAAUAAGUGUAUGAUGUAUACUUUGUGUAAAAUAUAAAAAAUGUAGGCAGAAACUAAUAAUAUUUAAUAACAAAUGGAAAAGAUAUUACGUAAAAGAAAAGGAAAAAAAAAUGAGAGAAAAGAAGAAUAAAUAUGAGCAAAUUGUUGAUCAAUUGACCGGACAGAUUCUAUGGGCAAUAUUGCAUCUUUUGUUGCACCUCCACUUCUGUUUGUUUUUUAUGUCCGCAACUAGCAAUACAUGACGUGGCACUUAUAUGUAUUAAACCUCUUUAUCCCCUCCUCUUCGAUACUUUCUUUAAGACUUGUCUUCUUAUGUUCAUUACAACUUCAACCCAUUUUAAGAUUUAUAUAAACCCUUGCGCGCUAUUCAUUUUUCUUUGUCUAAUAAACAAGCUUUAUAUCGUCAAAGUGUGAUAGAUCAGUCGUAGUCAAAUCCGCCUCGUAAGUCAAGUGAUCAUAAAUGUUGAUCUCCCAAGAGUGUUAUUUCAAAAUAAAUAAAAACAGUUUUAUUUGUUACAAUUUGAUUGCGACUUAUUUAAUUAAUCUUAAAUAUUUGUGUUCGUUGAAAUGUUAAUAGUAAUUCAGCUUUACAAAAAGGAUUACUUCUUGAAUUAUUUUUUUAUAUACGAAACAGUUAACAAAAUAAGUGUAUAGUUUCAUUAAAAAAAUACUAUAAAGUAAUAUAUAAAUACAUUUCAUCAAAAAAGGAGGGGCUAAAAUGUUGUUUUCAGCUUCCUUUAAGUCUAUGGGCGCAUCUGUUAAAGAAUUCGGACACAGCAUCCUUUGCUGAUUUAUUUAAACUUAUUAAACACGCGAUAAGUAACCCAAACUCGUGUUUCAUGCAAAUACUUCAAAAGUCAAAGUUGAAUAAUGAUCACCCACACUUAUAAUUACAGCAGGCAUCGAAAUAUUUAAUACUUGUAGAUUAGCAUUUUCGUUUGUAAACAUAAAUAAUCCAUAAACUAAUUUGUUUGCACGUGAGAGGCUGCGUGUUUAGGUUGAUUCAAACACUUAUACGUCCGCACGUUUAAAGCUUUUAUAUAUAUGUAUAUAUAUGUUUGGUCUACAUGAAUGUCAAAUACCAAACAUGAAAGUGUGAAGCCAUGGAAUUGAACUUCUAGCUAUUGGACUUGGCGUACUAAACUAUUCGCAAUUUCUCCACACGUUUAACUCUCUUAUGAAUUUUAUAUUCUCAUCUACUUUUUUUUAUAAUAUUUGCGGGAGAAUAAUUUCAACAUUCAAAUUGGAAUGAUGGUUCAUGAAGAUUUGAAGUCAAAGUCCACGAUUCUGAUGUUAAUAUAUAGUUAUAGUCCCUGUUAGAAGUUGGUAAUCACGUAUGAUUAAAAUUUGAUGGCUAAUUACACAAAUAUAUAUCCCAUGUAAACAUUUAAUUAUAUAAUAUGAUUCGAAUGAAUUUGUUUGCAAAGAAAAAACUUAAACUCAUUUCAUAAAUACUUUUAAUUAGUUUUUUAAAAAAUUACAUAAAACAUUUUUACUUCUCAUACCUCAGAAAAAUCAUAUUAGUUUUGGAUAACGUAAAAAUACACAAAAAGAGUAAACGGAUAUCUGAAAGUGGUAUUUAUGGGCUUUAGUAAAUUCGUAGAUGGGCCUAUUAGCCUAAAAUGUAGUCAUUAAGGCCCAUUUGAUUCGUAUAUUCCUUGAAUGUUAAAAUUGUUAAUUCUAUGUAUAAAGUCUAAAACUAAUAAGAGAAUGGAUGAAAGUAUAAUCAAAAGUAUAAAAGUAUAUAGUAUAUAACACGUAGGAAAAAAUAGUAAUCUACGCUGUGUUUUGCAGCGGUUCGUUUUUUUCAGAAGGCAGAGAGAGAGAGAAAAACUGCAUGCCGUUUUCACUUUCUUAAUGACACAAACAUGACGUCUAGAUUUGCCUUUGUGGUCUUCCUCCUUGAGAAAAAAUAAGAUUUGACGUGUUAAAAGCUAAGCUAGUAGCACGUGUGCGAUCAGUGUUGUACUGUGCUGGUCAAAGUCAAAUUGCCAAUAUAUUCCAACCAAAGCGUAUUUAUUCUUCUUUGAAAUAUAACUCAUGUGUGUUUCCGACAAAUUUUUUUUUUUACCCGUAGACGAGAGAGAGUUUAAACAGUUUUGUAUCUGGUGUUUUUUAACGAUUAAAGUAAAUGUUCAUGUGUAGUGAAAAAUUAAAAAAUUGGACAUGUAAAAAUGAUGUGGAUAACACCGAUCGAAACUAAUUAAAACUUGUAAUAGAUAUAGUUGUAAAUGAAAAAAUACGUACCUACGUGUAUAUAUAACUAUUUGUAAAAAGGGUAACAUUUAAUUCAUCAGAAAAUCAAAUAAAAGGUAGCUAACGAACUUGUUAGCUAAGCUCUCACCCAAAAUCGUCCGUGUCCUUACCCUUCAUGGCUUCCACCUACAAAUACACAUGAUUCAAUUCAGUUACUAACUUUACUAUAUACCUGUCCGAGUUUAUGGCCUUAAAAAAAACAAUUGUCUUUUCUGGACUCUUGAGUCUCGAGGAUGUGGAUUGAAACCUAAAUAUAAUUAUUAUGCAUAUAUAUAAAUUUGUUGUCAGUUAAUUUUGAACUUAAAACUCAUAAAACGCACCUAACUGCAACACUUAUUUUUCAUUGAUUGGCUAUUAAUUAGCGUAGGAAAUAAUACGUUGGUCAUAUAGUAAUUAUUCCACCAUUUUCGCUAGAUUACAGAAAUAGUUGAUAUCGUAUAAAUCUACGUCAACAGUGUUGAUAUUCACAUGAUUUUAAAAAUUAAAUCACAAGAUUACAGAAAAGGUACUGCAUGCAUUCUAGAAUUUUUAGUACGUAUGUAUGCGCGAGUACAUGUAUAAUAGGAAAUAUGGAUGAGCCUUUUUCUAUGCCAGCCAGCCUCUGAACUGUCGGACACGAUAUUUGGUGCGACGUAUCAUGUGAUUACUCCAUCACUUGCAAUGAAUAUUUAUGACUCACGAUUCAUAUGAGUCGUGACUCGUGACGCUCGACUCAUGAGUCAUGCGGCUCAUGCCUCGCACCACCUUUACCCCGACCGUUCCGUACGCUAUACGCGUAUUCAAGUACGUGACGUUGAUUUCUUCACAAGUCUCUCUAUAUAUAAUAUUAUCACGCAUAUAAUUAAACACCAUCGCACGUGUGCAUAUAUUAUACUAGUUAUUAUAUAUUUGUCUUUGUCCAAAUAUUGUCUUUGUUUUAUAAAUAAACGUUUGAGGGUUCAAAUAGUUGCAACCAAUGGGGAAACAUACAAUUUCCAGAUUAUAUGUUUUUUAACUAGUGUUAACUUAGAGAUGCAAUUAGCAAUGUCGGUUAAAUUUUUUUCAUACUUAGAUAAGGAUCACGCUAUGCACAGAACGUCCUUCUUCCCUUUGUUCUGCAUCACACAUAAUACAUUUUCGCGUUUGGAGUCAUAAAACAAAGUGUGAAUGGUGGUCUACGUUUAUCAACAUUAAUCACAAAACAAAUGUCGGUCAAUGUCUAACUAAUCAGAAUUAUGUGACCAAAAGUAUAUACAUUGUUUGAUGUAUGUACAUCUAUACAUGAUACUACAUUGAAUUAAACAAUGGUUCAUAACUAUACUUCUUCGCUAGAAACCUGUACAGAGCCAAUCUAGGGAUUAGCUAGAUUUGUCAGUCAGUUUCGUGUUGCCUUAUUUUCAAAAUAUUAUUUUAAAUAAAAAAGAAUGAAUAAAUAGUGGAGAAGUACGAUUGCUAUAUUUGUAAUAGAAGUAGCUAAGACGUAGUCAGUGUUUGAAAUAGUAGAGAAAGGUAUGGGACUCAGACCAACUUUAGAUUUCAACUGUUGUUCCUGACAUUACGACUACUCUUCUUUUCUAGUUUACUUUUUGUUCGUGUACUUCUUCAUCUCAUAAUAUUGGGACAAUGGAGUCAUUUUACUCCAUACUACUCUCAUAUGUAUAUAUCAGUCAAGAAGUAAAAUUUGUAUUUAAUUAGUUACAGUAUCAUAUACUAUUGAGCUUUUUGUAAACAUGCCCAUUAAUCUUUUGUAUGCUUAUUAGACACACGGCUCCAAAGAUGUAUCAUUUAUUAGAUUUCUCUUUACAAGAAGUGGAUGUAAAAAAAAUAGUAAAAUCGUAUAAAAGUGUUGGGAAAACGUUGCAUUGAAUGAAGAACCUCUAACUCUGUGGAAAAAAAAAAGCUUAAGAUAAAGAUAGAAAUGGCAAGAACGGUGAUUGAUAUAUGCACUGUAUGCAUACGUGUGUCUAUACAAAAAAUAGUAAUAUAUAUGCAUUUCAAGUAGCUUAUAUUGAGGAAGAUUUUGCAAUAAAGAUCGAAUAGUUACAAUGUUGUGACAUAAUUAUAAUCGGUCACUAUAUGUAAUAGACUGGGACCUGUCAUAUUCUCUCCUAACCAAAGAAAACUAUAGGAACUAUUGCAAUUAAAUUAAAACAAUAAUGUAUAAAGUUUUUGAGUCAUGACAUAACAUAUAUAAAAAGGCUUUACCUUACCAUAUCACUUUAUAUAAUUAUGUCCUCUUUGCCCACUCUCUCCGUUCUUUCUUAAUCUUUGAUAUUUCUUAUUCACUGAACACGAAUAGGUGACAUGAAACCUUGCAUCCAAAGCUAGAAACAAAUGAAUCUAGUUUGAUUUGUUGUAACCUUUUUCUUUCCUUUCUAAUUUUUGUCUAAAUUAAUGAUAAUUAUUACAUACUAUAGAUUAUAUAUCAACUAAAUGAAAAAAGCUAUACAUGAAAAUAAUAAUUUCAGCAAGAUAUUUUUUUGGUAGGAAGAAAAUACAUAUGUACAUUGUCUGAAAUAUUUUGUUAAAUAAAUAUUUGAAGACUAUGAAAACUAAAAUCUUACUGAAAACAUGUGAUUUCGAAAAUGGCAUUCAACUAAAUCAUUUUGAAGUUACCAAUUUUAUAAAUAAAAUUAUUAAGCAAGAGUUACGAUAAUCCCCCAAAAACACUAUAACUAAAAAAACAGUGUACAAUAAUAGUGUUUAGUGUUUACAAUAUUUUCUUAUAUAUGCAACUGUUGUUGACAAGAGAAAGAACAAAUUAUUGCGCCGUACAAACGUCUUUUUCUCCAUUCCAUUUGAUAAUUUUGUUUAGAAAAUAUAUAAUCAUAACAGUUGUAGCGAGCUAUCUCGUUAAGUGUUGUUGAUGAAAUUAAUGGAAUGUUUUCAUUACUCAAUAACUUUUGCAUAAAAAGUGAAAAACGAAUAUGGAGGAUACAAAAAAAAGUUUAUACUUUUCUCAGCAUUCAUCAAAACAUUGAUCCCAUCUCUUCUUCAGUAAACAAAUCUUCGUUUAAACAACUUUCACAUUUUUCCUAUAAAAAAAAGUCAUGAACACAAUAAUUUAGUCAAAAAUAAAUAAUUUCUCCCUGCAACAUUUUCAUUUUCAACUUAAAACUUAUGCAAUUAUAAGUCUAAACACCAAACAGAGAUCUUCGGCUUGUAGACCAAAACCAGUUGUCAACAAGUCUACAACUACUUGCACAGUUGCACUGUUUAUGAAAAAAAAAAGAGAAUUGAGAAAUACAAAAUAUCAGAAGUAAAUUAAAUACACACGAAAACAUAAACUCAAAAAGAAAAAAAGAAAAAAAAACCUCUUAGUCAUAUUCUCUUUCUAUCAAUCUCUCUCAAUAUCAAUCUCAAUCUGCCCAUAUUUCUUGCUGUCAACAAAUUCAUUCAGCAAUCUCCUCUUCUUCUCCCAUCAACAACAAACUAAAAAAUAAAGACCUUUCACAACAUCAAAAACAAAACGAAACCCUUCUUCUUCCCACAAGAACCUCUCUUCAACAAUGUCGUCUAGAAACCGGACGAGAUCAAGAAUCAACUUCUUCUUCACAAGAACUGUUCUUCUUCUCCUUCUCCUUCUUCUUCUAGGGUUCUGUAACGGAGCAAGAACAAAUACGAACGUCUUCAACUCGAAACCACGCAAGGAACACAAAGACGCUGUUCCGUCUUCAUCGAAACAGUUCUUGGGGUUCUUGCCACGUCACUUCCCAGUUCCAGCUUCUGGUCCCUCUAGAAAACACAAUGAUAUCGGUUUACUUAGUUGGCAUCGUUCUUCUCCUUGAACCAAAACCAAAAAAAAAAAACCCUUAAAAGGUCAUCACCUUUUCUUUUUCUUAAUUUCUUUCUAUUAAUUUGUUUUACUUUAUAGUAUUUCUUCUACUUUGGUUUUACUCUUCUACCUUUUGCUUAUGAAUUUCAAGCUGCUGUAAAUGCUUUUUUUUUUCCUUUAUCUAUUUUCUUUUUGUGAUGCUAAGAAAAUGGUUGUUUUUUUUUUGGUUUGAUUCAUAUCGAGAAGGCAAAACAUUUAUAAUCUAUUAUGGAUUUGUAACUCGAAGUUGUAUUUUUUUUGUUUUCGAUAUCUCGAAUAUGUGUAAUAUUGCACGUAUCAAAGUGUAAGAGCCUGCAGUCAUCUUCAUGAUAUACUUCGAUCUUGUUAUUAUGAUCAACUCGAGUGAAAGAAAAAAAAAAAUCUUCUUUAAGUUUACAAUUAGUUCGAAAUUGACUUAUGAAUUUAAACAAGGACUAAUUAUGUGGUGUUUGUUUAUAUUUUUUUUUUAAGAAUAGGUCAAAUCGUUAAACUUAAUGAGCUAAUUGAAAUAUAUGGCGUAUCCAAAAAGUCUGAUGUAGAUUGGUCUUGAGAUAUAUUAUCGACUUUUUUUUUUUUUUUCAUUUUCUUGGGAUCCAUCUAUUUGUUUUCAAUUAUAACCAAUAAUGUCUUUGAAAUGUCUAUUGAGAUUUGUCAAUGUGAUGGACCAAGUUUGCAUCUAAUUUUAUAGCCAGAUAAUUUAUUUUGACAUUAAACGUGACAUUUAUGCCGGGAAGGUGAUCAUCAUCAAUAGCUAUUUAUAUAGAUCAGAAAGGUAUCAUCAAUAAGAAAAAAAAAUCUAUUAAGUAAUUUUUAAAAGUUGUAUGAUAUUUUGAAUUGCAUGACAAAUAAGAAAUUUAUAUGCUGUUAAUAUAAUUUAGAUACGAAAUCAAAGGAAGUAAGGAACCCUAAUGAUUCUUGUUAGACCCAAAAAAACACUGUAGCAAUUAACCAUCGUUUUUAAGAAGUCUAAAUCAGAUCUAUGGAUAAUUGAUUAGAAACCCAAUCAAGUACUCUUCUAUUUUUGUAAGUUGUUUAAAAAUAGUCAGGGCUAUAAUUAACAGUACAGUCGUCAUCAUUACAUGUUUGUUAAGAGUAAUGAGUUCUGAAACCUCGAAAACUAUCUUCUUCUUUUUUCACGUUCCGUCGUUUAAAUUCAGGCAAUCAUGUCUUUUUCUAUAAAUUAGGUAACUCACGUACGACGACGAGUCCAGAGUCCAGACGGUCCCGUAACUAAAACAUUGUUAGUGUUUUGGUAAUAAUUUAAACAUUGUUUAUAUAUGUACAUCAGUCUUUAUAUAGGACAGUUGCAAACAAUUUUUUUUUUUUUUUUGUCACCGUUGCAAACAAAAUUAUUAUUAUUAUUAUUUAAAUUCAUCAACCAAAAAAUAAUGUCAGUCCAUUUUCAUAUUUUAUAAUUUCCACAUUCCACUUUUUUACCAAAAAAUGAAUAUAGCGAAAUUGGCUGACAACUUGCGUCAACCAUAAUAGUUGGAUAAAUAAUUGAAAUCUAUCGUAUAUGUUGUUCCAUGGUUCCUCGACCUUCUUCAUGAACGAAGCUUUGAUCCCAAACAACAAGUCUGAAAAUGCUUAAGAACUUGUUGCGACCAAAUACAGAGAAAGUAAUAGGAGAAAGACCUUAUUUGUCAAAAUAAAAAAUAUCCAACAUUGACCAAGAAACAGCACAAACAACUUCAGCAGAACCAUCAAACGUUAUAAGCCAACCCAAAAUCACGAUUCAAUAGGAGACUCAACUUUGUUCUCCUCAGCUGCAAAGAAGGGAAUGGGUUUUUUCGGAGCGGGAAGCCGUCCGAUGCUAUCAACCUUAUCUUGUUGCUUAGGAGGUGGUCGCGCUGCCUUAGGCAAUAACCUUCCUUUCUUCUCAAACCAUUCCGGUUUAAGCAAUGCCCUUAAGCCCAAUUUGUUGUAAUACACUCGUCUCACUGAUCCUCCUGCUGCUUCCACCACCUCUUUUGCCCUAACUGUCACUCUCGAAACCUGAAGUAAACAUGCUAUCACCGAUUAAUCGAAUUUCUAACUAUAACUUGGCACAAAUUUGAAAAUGCAGAGAGUAUACAGAGCAAAAGUUCAUAAUGCAAAUGGUAAACCUCGAAAUGAAGUGGCCAUUUAAUCUCAUCAGCACCACGACCCAUUAGUCUUACUCCGUCUUCUAUUUGCUUUCCUAUGGCUCCAACAUCCUGAAAGCCAGCGGAAAUGGGUUUACUAAAGAGCAGAAUCAUCAACUCCAUCUUAAACCGGUGAGUCAAGAGUGAGUAUGAUCGUACCUUGAGCGUUUUCAUUGUGAUCAAUUCAUGAGAAUCUAUCUCCCCAGCGUUUAUGAGUUUAGCGAUCUUUCCAAGACCAACGGGCUGCAUCAUACCACAAUUAUAUCACCUUUUAGUAAUUUGAACUCUGAAAUUCCAAUCCUGAUCAUCUACUUCACUACAAGCAGCUAAUACAGAGCAUUGAUGGCAUUCAGAAAGAAGAAAAAGUGUGACCCAUCUGAUUUAGAUUCUCAAACCCGACCUAAUCUAAUGAAUCAAUGACAGCUGUAAACCCUUUGAAUCAAUGGAAGCUACAAAAACAGAAACUUGACCUCUAAAACAAAUCCCAGAACUGAAAAGCACGAGCUUUUUCUUUACCUGGAAAUGGAGCUUGAAUUUGUUCUUGAAGCCACGUUUUGGUAAACGGCGUCGUAAUGGAGUCUGCCCACCUUCAAAACCAAACUUCAUGGUUCCUCUAGCUUUUUGCCCCUUGUGACCUCUUCCAGCAGUUUUACCUUUACCAGACCCAAUACCUCUACCUUUCCUCGUCUUGAGUUUUCUGGGCACAUUGUCUCUCAGAUCGUUCAAGCUCAGUAAACUGUACGCUCUAAUUCCCUGAAACGAGGAAGCUCUGCUCAUAAAGGUAGGAAUUUGAGCAAAGCUCGGAGAAGUACGGCAUUGAAGAAGUGGCGAAGAAGUGAUGAAUCUGGGUUUUGCGGUUUGGUGAAUCGAAGUCGAAGAAUUGAUGAGUGAUGUUGAUAUGAUCGAUGAGAUUCUUCUUCGUAUCAUUUCUUCGUUGCGGGAUCAAAUCAGAUUUUGGAAUUUGAGAUCUUUUUUCUGAAAUUUUACCAUUCCAUUUCGGGGGAUUUUAGGGUUUAUGAGAUUUCAGUGAAGAGCUUCUUCUUCUGGAUCAACAACAUUUAUCGUUGUUGUUUGCAGCCAUCGUUGCAUUCGUAUUUGGGCUUCUUCAGCCCUGUCAUUUAAAGCCCAUUUAUGAUCCAAGGUUCUAAGCACAAAUUCCGGUUAGGUGCCCACAUUACUCGAUUGAUUUUUCCGGUUUAGUGGAAGAACCAAAUGUAUUUCCCAAACAACGUCGUUUUGCGUGAGAAGAAGAGAGAGAUAAAUAAAUUUGUAACGGGAUUUAGGUCAUCGCCGCAUCGAUUUUUCUCCGGUAACUAUUCUCUCUCUCAUUUAGCCGUCGACGAAGUAACCCUUCUUUCUCAGUCGUCGCUUCCUCGUUAUGAAUUUGCGAUUUUGAUUGGUUUGAGUUCUCUGAUGUCUAAAAGCUUAAGCUUUUUUCUCUUCUAGGUUUUGCAGGUUUUGUGAAAUCGUGAGACCUGAUUUUGAGGAAGAGAUGGCAUUGGAUUACCAACCUAACGAAAGUUUCAUAGUCAAUAACUUCGAGCAGCUAGAAGAGACUGAAGUGUCCCAUUCUGACGAUGAGAUUUGGAUUUUCCAAUUCCCUAUAUCCCGAGUAUGUUUAGUUUUUAUUUUAUUUUAUGGAGUUAAAUUUGGUUGAGCUUGUUCAGUGAAGUUUAACGCAAUUGAUCUUAUUGCAAUGUUCUAUUCAACUAUAGGGAUCUGCUUCAUCGCAGUUUCCAGAAAUAGGUGGUGACGAUAUCAAGAUUGAUGAUUUUGACAAAGAUGGAUCAAUUGGAGGAUUUGUGGAUUCAUCUGGUAAGCUUAUCAUGGACUUGAUCUCCAAAGGUUGGCUCAUUAUCUACGUUAGUGGUUGAAUUAAUUUGCCAUUCUCUGGUUUUGAUAGGUACCAAGUUUGACCUUGUUAGCUAUGCUCCUCAAGAUACUGAAUCUACUGUGAUUUUACCUUCUGAAGAAUCCGUGAUUGGUAUAUUCCCCCACAUUGCUCUAGAAGUAACUCAUGUGUCUGGUCUUAAUCGUUCAGUUUACUCAGCCUUGCCUGCUUCUUUAAUGAUUCUUAAUGUUAUUCUCCGUUUCAUGGUAGGUGGGAGUAUUUCUCGGCGAGUUGCGUUAGUUCGUUACCCUGAACCAACCGAGCUGCUUCAGACUAUAAAGGCCAGAAGCCAGCAGAAGCUUGUUGGAGCAGUGACGAGUUCCUCUGGGAAAUACUCUAACCCAAGUCAAAGUAGCCGCCAUAAAAGUGGACAGUCGGUUCGACACUCAGCUUCCUCACGUAGCAGCAAACAGAAGAGCCUGUUCUCCAGCUUCACGGAUGCUCCAAAGUCACCAAAAAGAAAACAUUCAGAGUCUGCCUCAGGUAAACAUGGGAACUCAACAAGUACGGUUUCAGGCUCUUCAGAACGAUCGGGAAAGUCCAAGAAGAAGAAGAAGGUGAAGAUGGAAGAGUAGUAAUUGUUCUUUAAAACAAGUGUUCUUGAUGGUUAAGAUGUUGAAUUUCGAAUAUGCAAACGAUAAACAUCCAGUAUUGUGUUCAAAUUUAUAAGUAAUCUCGCCUUACAUGAUUAUUUAAGUACAAGCUUAUUAUUAACUUACCUUGGAACUGGUCAAAGUUAAAUACAGGCUUUUUAUCUUAAGCAAGGUGCAAGAUUAAUACAACAGCUAAGGUCUGUUGCUGUCUUUUUGACUUCAAGCCUCUGUGGUUGGAGUUGUUUCGGAGUGUUGUGAUUCUGGCUUCCAUUGUUGUGGAGUUUGAACCUUCUUUAUAGAGAGGGCAUGGAUUUCUUUCAUCUCUUCUUCAAGAGCAGCGUUUACAAUGCGGUGCCUCUCAAGCAAUCUCUUCGCUUCAAACUGUUCCGAGACAAUCUCAACCACAAAACUCGCACCGCAGCUGGAACAAAGAGUAAAGCUUUAAGAUUGAGAACUGGAAAUUACAGAUGUCAAAAGUCAUAGAUUGAAGAAAUGGAAGGUGGUGACGGUUUAGUGAUCAGAAGACUUUACCCUCCAGAUGUGUCGAUGACUUCCUAGUUUUACAUAUAAAUCAAGCCAAAUGACUAAAUUAGUGAUGUAUACAGAGAAAGAUCACAAAGUAAACUUGUUGCUUCAAUAAUCUCAUAUUAUAAUUCACACAAACCACAUAAAUGAGUGUAUGAGUCAAUCUAAGAACAAAACAUGCGUAAGAUCCAAUUUAGUAAUUCUAUUUUUCAUCAAGAGACCAGCUCAAAAAAUUUCAAACUGUCAUUAUCUGCAAAUCCAUCUUUCUCCAAUAUAUCAAAGAACAGAGGAUGCAUGUGUGAUAAAUCAAAGUUCUAAAUUUCGUCUUACUUUUUGGACAGCUUCAGUAGCCAUAAACAGAAUAAAAGUUGCAGCAGGUAAGGGAAUCAAUAGACUUACCAGAUGAACAGGAUUGAGUUUUGAAGUCAAUGUAGCUAUGACUUGCUCCUUGGAUACACCCAUCUGCUUAAAGUUUGUGCAGCGGUGAUUUGCUAAAACUUAGUGUGUCCUUAAUGACUCUAAAUGGGUGAACCAAGUGAAUACGGGACCCGACCCGAAUAUAUUCUCUUCUUCUCAACUUUAUGACAUUCGAUACUAUCCAUAAACACACCAUAAACCCAAAAAGGGUAAGAAAAUGUAACCCAAACCUAACCUGAUCUUUAAUGGGCUGUAUUUUUCGGUCCAUCAUCCGAAUUUGCGAUCAUGGAUUUAGCAUCGGCAUUCGCAUUCAGUCUUGGCACCAACCAAAUAAGAAAUUGACAAUACGUACAGAAAACUUAACCAAGAAAUACAAAACAAGGCUUUUGAAGUUGUCCUAUGCCCCACUGUAUAAAUUUGACCGUUAUGUGGAGGAUUUGUUUUAUUGUCAUUAUAUGGACAACAUGGGUACUGUAAAUAAAAAGCAUAUACUUAUUUCUUUUUUUUCUGUAAUAUCCACCCCCUGCUCGAUUCAGUAGGAAAAACAAUAAUAUACAAUGCAUCAAAAUAAAGAUUCGAAUACAAAUCUUUUCUAUGAUUAGAGAGCGUUUUUAUAUAUUUCUAAUUUGCGUAGUAGCUAGUACAAACACAAAUCAGAUUAACGUCCUUUUUGAGUACAAUAUAAAUUUAGGUUUACCACACACACAAAAAAAAAAACCAUAAGUAUGAAUUAUAUAUUAUAAUAAAAAAUCUUGGUCUCUCUAUAAUAAUUCUUUUCAUGGCCGCAGAGAAUUUGUAGGACAAUAAACUCUUCUUUGACCAUCCCUUUAACACCUCCUCUCUCUCUCUCAAAUCUCUCGGAAGAUAAAAGGCUAAAUUAAGAGAGAGAGAUAAAUAUUUUGGUUUCUCAUUAUCUGUGAGUUUUUAACGAGAGAUGGGAAACUGUGCCAUCAAGCCAAAGGUUCUCAAAGAUUCUGAGGAGGAUCUUGUUCCGGUGGAGCGAGAUUCGGUGGCUCCUGUUGAUCAUCAUGACAAAGAUCCGGCGCCUGAGAAGAGCGAGAACAAUGCUCCUAACCCCGCAGAGGAGGAGGAAGCUGCGGCUGCUGCACGACGGAGCGAGAAGGGAAAAGAGAUUUUGAUUGAAGAUGACGUUGACGAAAACCACAAACGCCCAUCUCUCAGUCACUUGUUUCAUGAGGUAAUGUUCAUAUAUAUAAUUGUUUGCAAUACUAUUCAACAAAAUAUGGAUAUUAUUAGAUUCAAAUGUUUAUGUGUGAUGAUUAGUCAUAUAAUUAGCAAAUAAUAAUUGAGAUUCAAAUCAAAAGUUAUAUUAUUUCAUUGUUAAGCUUUUUUGUACAUUCUUCUUGAUAUUAUGGCCGGCAAGUGAUGAGGAACCAGACCGUAUUUUCUUUAAGGAGUUUAUAUAAAAAGCUUCUCUUGCCUUCUAAGUUUUAACUUAAGGACCACUUUUUUUUGAAAAUUAAAAUAUUUUCAAUAGUUAGUGCAUAUGUUUUUACAUUUUAUAUUUGUGGAAGUGGAAACUAAAGUGACAAUAAUUUGUUUGACCCAAAAGAAAAGAGUUACAAUAAUUUUAUAUACCAGCAUUUCCAAACCGGACCGGUUUAUUUUCUGGUUUUCUCACUUUUCAUAUCAAUUUGGAUGAGUUUUUGUUUUUACAGGACAAGACAGUAGUAUUGGAAAAAGAAGUAAUUGAUCUAUCGCCGAUAAAAUCAGAGGCCAAUGAAAACAAAACCGGUCCUUCAGAGGUUCCAAAGCUUGAUACUUCUGCUCUAACAGCUUCUACUGUCAAAGCUCCGGAAGAAACCUUUGACGUCCAGACUCGAAAUGACCUCGAAGUUAAGAUUCCAAAAGAUUCUGAGGUUAAGUCUCCUGAAACUCCUAAAGCUAAGGAAGCUGAAGAGAAUUUUUCAGAGAAUUGGGAAGUUAAGUUCCCAGAGGAGUUGGAAGCUAAGAAAACAUCUGAAGUUGUUAAGGUUGAAGAAGAGUCUAAACUUCCACAGGUUUCUGCUCCUCAAUUGUCUGAAGUUGAAUCAAAUGUUCCUGAGGUUUUGGAGGAUAAGAAUAUUCCAGAGGUUUCUGCUCCUGUAUUGUCUGAAGUUAAGGAUGCAAAAGAAUCAAACGUUCCUGAGGUUUUGGAGGACAAGAAUAUUUCAGAAGUUUCUGCUCCUGCACUGUCUGAAAUUAAGGUUACAAAAGAGUCAGAUGUUCCUGAGGUCUUAGAGGAUAAGGACAUUCAAGAAGUUAAGACUGAUGAAGUUAAAGUAGCAGAAUCAGAACUUUUAAAGGUUUCAGAAGUUAAAUCUACGGAGGAUUUAGAUAUCAAAGUUCCAGAGGUUUUUGAAGUCAAGACUCCUGAGACAUCGAAGGUUGAGGUCAUAGAUGAAUCUGCAGUUAAAACUGAUCAAGAAGCAUUGAACGCUAAGAAUGCAGAUGAAACAAAAGCUCCAGAGUUUAAAGAUGCUCAAGAAAAGCUCGAAAAUCCUGAGGGAGACAAAGAAAUGGUGUUGCCUAAAACAGAGGAAGAAGCAAAAGCUGCGUCUUUGGAGAAGCAAGUCAACGAGUCUACUACAUUGCCUGAUUUAGGAACCACCAAAUGACUUACGAGAGACUACAGAGAAAUUACCAACCAGGAGUAGCUAAAAUUAUAUAUUUUUUUAAAAAACCAUUUCAUGGUUUAUAAAACAAAAACAAAUCACUAAAAAAAACGAUUUAGCAUAUUCUUUAGGCAAUUUCAGUUUAUGUCCCUUGUUUGAUAUCUCUUAUUGUUGUUGUUUAUUUUUUUAUUUUUCACAAAAAUAUGGGGAUAAUUAGUCUUUUUGCAUGUCCCCAAGUUGUACACUUUGCAAAAGAUCGAAAAGAUCAUUUCUUGAAACAAAUAAAGAAAUUUUCGUUUAACAAUUUAACUUACAUAUGUUUAGUAAAUUUUAACAUAUUCAGCCGGUUGAUGAUCAUCAUUAAUAAUCACACGAAAAUCAAAAUAAGAAUAAAGUUUGUGACCAGUAUUUUACAUAUAUAUAGCUCUCUCUUUUUUUUUUCAUAACACACAACCUAUGAAAAGUUAGAAACCACCCUAAGUUAAGUGAUAAAGUAAAAGUAGUUAAAGCAAAGAUUUCUUAAGAGAUUCUAGACUCUACUAUAUGUGAAUGAUUAGUCACAUGUAUCAUAAAAAGCCUAAUUUUUAGCACAUCUUAUAUAUAUAUAGAUAAAAGCUAAUACAAUAUCUCUCAACUAAUGACAACCUUCACUUCAUUGCACACGACAUCGUUUUCUUUCUGUAGAUCAAUCUUAUCUCCAACACCACUGUUUUUCCUCUCUCUGCUUUUCCCCCACAACACACAGUAGAGUCCUAUGAUCAACAAUAAUCCACCUACGAUACUACAAAACAUAUUACACAUGCGUCAGUUAAUUUUCUUGAAUAGAUAAGAAAAAUGAAGAUAUAUUCAAGAAGAUUUUUGUAGAACCUUCCAAGACUGAUGAUCUCGCAUAAAAGAAUCGCUGAGGAGAGGAGAGUGAAGACGAGAGACAAAGGAGUGAACAUCGAUAGGAAGACAGGUCCUCUCUUUUCUAUUACCCAUGAUUGCAAAUAAUAUGCCACGCCUGUUACAAUGAACCCCUGCGUAUAAUAUAAUGUCACGUUUAGAUUUAUUAAUAUAAAUAUUCUUUGAAUUUAUGACAUACUGUAUUAGUUUAUUAUGAAAUGAAAUAGAGUGAGAUAAUUACGCAGUAAAUGACUGCAACGAGUCUUAGGUUCCAACCAAGCUUCCAUGCGGAAAUAUCUCUCUCGAAAGCAAUUGCGAUGACAAAGGAUUGAAUCGAACUCAAGAGACAAUGAAGUGUUGUGAAGUAUAGCUUCGAAGGGUAGAGCUUUAACACACGGCCCUGUUUUAAAAACGAGACCAAACUAAUAUCAAAGAUAGCAGAGAAUUUUGUCACAGUUACUCUUGAAUGUUAGGGUUUAAACUUUGGCUAAUACGCAACUCUUCAGCCUAUACAGUAGUUUCAAUGGGAUAAAUGUUUAAAUCAAUUUGAAAAUAUAGAUAUAUAUAGAUACCUGUAAAACGAGCCAGAGACCCCAUAAAAUGUUGGAGGCGAUCAUGAGGAAACAGCCUUUGAGCCACGAAGUGGAACCGUCGGAAACAUCAUUCCGGUGAAGAUGUUCUUGGCCGUGAUAGAGAUGAUGGCAUAAAGGUAAUUUCAGUAGUGGACCUUUGUAAAGUGCCAAGGUAAUUACCCCUCCCAUGCACACAGUGAUCCCUACAAGCUUUGCUGUUCCUUGUAUGCUCAUAACCUUAAGCCUCUCCAUUCUUUAAUUUAUUAUUAAAAAAAUAUAAGUAUGUAUAUCUUAGAAAGAGUAAUUAAUUAGGUAUUAAUUAAUUAAAAAGGUGUCAACUUAGCAUGUAUUUGUAAUUAGGUAUACCCAAAUAAGAGAGCCAAGAAGAAAGUGAUGGCCGGAAGAGAAGCUGUUGUGGCUGCGGCUAAAGUCGCCGACGUGUAUGAUAAUGCGAUACCGUUUAAGUCCAAGCUCAUUGUCACACUGAAACCCCCAACAUACAUAAAGUUUAACAUAAUUCAACAUAUAUAACGUUAGUACAUAUAUAUAGUAUUGUAGUGUUCGUUGUAUUUUUCCCUUUGCGCAUUUUUUUUUGUUUAUUUCUUAAGUUUAUGAACUUUCUACAAAUAAUUUUAAUUAUUUUCCUUUAAAAACACACAACAGUGUAAACGCAUAAAGAAAAAAAAAAUUCCAAUUCGCUUUUGUUCUGUAUAAACUUUACAUGUUAAAUUACAUUUUAUCAAGAAAUACAAGAAAACGUAAAUAUUUGUGCAAUUCAUACUAUUAUGGAUUUUUAUGUUUUGCUUUGUAUAUUUUGCAAUAUAAAAUGAUGCUAGAUUGAAGAACAAGCAAAAUUGGAGUUUUGUUACUUUAAAUGGACAUAAACAUAUACACGCAAACAAAAAUCUCGAAGCAAAUGAAAUAAAAUGUACUUUUUUCUUGUUUAAGG